rnacentral:lncRNA from 1 species
GUUUGAGAUGUGCAUGGUUUCUCAUGGGCAAAGAGUAGCAAAGUUUUCUCAUUGUGUCAUUAACCAUGAACUCAAAUUGAUGCAAUUCUUCUAUCUGACCAGUGACUUUUCUUUUUAGGUAUUUGCCGUAAAAAGCCAUAAAUUUACUGGAAGUUAUUCAUUUCUGAUGAUUAACUAAGGCUUUUUUGGAUGCUUGGUCGGUGGAUCUUGCGUUAAGUACCACAGGAAUGGGAAUCAGCAAAUGGACUGUAUCCCAAAAUUUUGCCAAAUAGACUAUAUCCCAAAAAUUUAUGGUUACCGAUAUUUAUCAGGAAAAAUGAUAUUUGACAUCCCAAAAUUCUUGGUAUUUGUGGGUUCAAUCUCAAUCCUAGUCCCUCUUGCCUUAAUCCAUCCUUACACAACUCCCACCUUAUGGGAAUGUUUCACAGCAUUGCGACCAGGCAUCCAGAUGCGCCCUAAAUGCUUUUGUAUGUCAAGUAUGUGAUUCUGCACUGUCUUUUUCAGAUUUGUAUUGCUUUUCCAGAUGAUGGCUCAUGGAAGAGAUUUCAUAAGCAACUUCAGCAUUUCCCAGUGGUAAUUUUCUGUAUUGAUAGUUUGAAACUACUAUUGCACAAAACUGGCAUACUAUAUCUGUUGCCUGUGACAGUGAGCUGAGCAAAAAUUUUUGAUCUCAACUUCAGAUUAUCUGUAACAAAGUUAGGGAAGGUGACCAACGAUUUGUUCGUCUCAAGGAGGGAGAUCCCAAAGGCCGCCAUGUUGUGAUAGUUGAUGACUUGGUGCAAUCAGGCAGUACUCUGAUUGAGUGCCAGGUAUGUGAUUAUUGUUUGGAUGUGUUAUCUGCAAGCUAGCAUUAUCCACAUGUUCUUUCCUUUUGUUACAUGAACUUGUCUAUCAGCAUAUGUUGUUGCUUUUUGCUGCAAAAAUUUUUCUUUACAUCAUGUGCUUGUGUAAGAGUUUAAUGCAAUAUAUGUUGUUUUAAUUUAUUGAACCUUGAAGUCCCACUUGGAUUUGAACUCUGAUUUUUUUUUCCUUAGAAAGUAUUGGCAGCUCAUGGAGCAGCAAAAGUCAGUGCUUAUGUGACUCAUGGUAUCUUCCCUAAUAGAUCAUGGGAGCGAUUUCAGUAUGAUAAUGGAGGUAUGUAUCUACUUCACCUGGAGUAACUUCCCAGUAAUACCAGUGUUCUUUUCUUUGCUAGGAGUACCAUUCAUAUAUAUAAACAUAACUUUCAAGAACUGACUUAUGGUAAAUUGGCCACUACACUUUUUCUUGUUCUACAUAUGAAAUGGUUUAAACCAAGGUUCGCCUUUAAACACACAGAGUUGGGUUAUUUGGAAACUUGUGAUAUAUCCUACGUGAGGAGGAGCGGGCUGACGGAUCAAGAGCAUUCUGGAUAACAGAAUCCUGAAUGUAUUUGGACAAAAGGACCAAGAGCAUUCUGGGUCACUUGUUCCGUCCUCUCUUCCGUCUCUGCAGGUGCCUCCCAGUCCUGUGGGAGAUACCACAUACAGUAUCUACUGCCAACUUCGGCCUAUAGAUAUUUAAACUGAGUUGUAAAAACUUGACCAUUAAGGCUAGGUUAAUACAUACACUGAGUUGCAAAAGCUUAUUCCUUAAGGCCAAGUCGUAUAAGUGCAUAAUUAUGACCAUGCAUAUCUAUCAUUAAAUUUGAAUUACGAGUGUUGAACUUUAUUUAUCACUACUUUGCCUAGCUAAGCCUGACAAGGAGGUACAAGUGAGGAUAAAGAUAGAUGAAACACUUUACUUUACAAAGGCUUCCGUGGCGACGUUUGGAGCAGUGAUAUCUGAGCCGGAAUUCCUUUGGAAUGAACGUAGAAUGUCAGAGAAAUUCAAAUUAUGUAAAUCCUGUACGAUAACGAAAAAGUCUAGCAUCAUCUAAUUUAAGUGGAAAUUGGAAGGUGAUUUUUGAUGGAGAUCAUCUUGAUAUGUUAUUUUAUGUAGGCUCAUAUUGAUUGCCUAUGUUCCAAAUAAUAUAAUUUUCGAUGGUAAUGGGAUCGAAAGAGUAGGAUUGUUGCUUGAUGGUAAUGCAACUUUUAGGUGUUGUUUUUGGAUAUCUUCUUUUUGCUAGAUUAUGAUUUCAAGGUUCUCAAAUUCAAUUGGAUUAAUAUGUUAGUAAGAACUGAAAUGGAAUUAAACUGCUGCAUCAUGUCCAACUUAGCAAUUGAAGAGUUUGACUUUACAAUCAAGUUUCUUUAUGAGAAACUCAUGGUGGAAAGAAUCGUACAGGCUCUAAAAGCAUUUGGCGGACAUUUGAGGGAAUUGGUGGCCAUGUACAAAGAAUGGCAGUAAUUUAUUAUAUAUAAUGGCACACAUGAGAAACCAAUAGAAAUUGUGAGCAUAAAAUAUGUAUCUUAUGAGAUGGAAUAUAGUUGCGAGGGCAUAAUAUUCAAAAUGGGAAGUUGGAUGGUGAGUGUUACAAAAACUUUAAGUCUUAUGACCAGGUGUUUUUGAUAUGUGAAAUGAUGUAGAAAGAACAACUUUGAUUUGUUUGAUUUUUUGAUAAAAAUAAAAUGGACAGUCUUUUUCCAGUAAGAAGCUGCAUUAACCUCCUUAGCCCUAUCCAUAUCUUGGAUUUCUGCCCUUUGACUCUUAAGGAUAGAGGGAAGGCUGAAGAGAUUUUGAGAGGGCAGCCGUUGCAGUCUAGUUUUGAUGUUUGGGCCCAUUUUCUUGGUGAAUUUUGAUGAUCCAUUAUUUUUCUUCUUCUUAAAAAAAAAUAGAAAGGGGAGGUGGGGGGGUGAAGAAGCUGCAUUGGCUUAACAUUAAUAUCCAGUUUGAAUCUUUCUGCUCAAAUUAUAUUAUUAUCAAAUUGUCAUUAGGAACAGGUACUAAUGGAUAAAUAGAGCUAGAUAUGUUAGUGUUUCUUGUAACAAUCUUUUCUGAACUAAUUUGUCAUAUUUCUCUUCCUCUGCAUUUUGAACACUAAACCGAUCCCCUUGUUUUCUUCCUUUCCAGUGGGUCCAGAGAAUGGGUUGAGCAACUUCUGGAUUACUGAUUCAUGUCCGCUUACCGUGAAGGAGGUGAAAAAUAGACCUCCCUUUGAAGUCCUCAGCCUUGCCAGUGCUAUAGCUGUUGCCCUUCAGAUAUAGAUCUAUCUAUCUUUCAGUAGAGUUUUAUCAGCCUGAUUAAACUCUCUUUGUUUUGUUUUUGACUGUGUCAUUUUUUUAAUCGAACCUUUUGUUGUUUGGGAGUUGAAUUUCCUUCAGCCACGGUACCGGUUUAUUACGGGUCCUCUGAGUGGUGGUAUGGGCUUCUUGGACAAAAACGGUGAGUUUGUUCUCGUGCGAUCCCACUGAGCAACGUUGGUGGUGGUGCGAUCCAGGCUACCAUCCGCUUUUCCAGCUGUUGAAUAUGUGUUGGUAUUUGGACACGAGGUCCGGGAUAAGCGGGUUUGUGCAGGGCCUGGCGUGGCAAACAUUAGUCGCGGUAUGUUGCCGGGGGCUCUUUUUGAGUCCAACAUAGAGGUAGGAAAAGACUAGCCAGUGAUUCAUGCAGACCCUGCAGCUCUUGCUGCUACAUAAUUGUUUAGCAUGUCAAGAUCGAGGCAUUAUUGGCUGGCCUAUAAUUGUUUAGCUUGCCAGGAUGGAGACAGUGACUGGGCUAUUUUGGGCCUACAAGAGCUAGAACUCAUAGUUUGUUCGGAGUAGAGCUGAAAUCAGAUCGGAUAUAAAUCUGAUACUAGGUUAUCUAUAUUUAUAUUUGUUUUGUUUGAUGAAUGUAGAUACAUAUAUAAAUGUUAGUCGGAUACACAAAUUUAUAUUCAUGUUUAUUUUAGAUGGAUACAGAUACAAAUUUGCUACUAGAUAUACAUAAUUCGAUACUAGAUAUACAUAUAGAGAUAAAUCUGAUAAUUAAAUUUUAUGAUCAUAGGAUCAAAGAUAUUAUUAAGUGAACGAUAAAUCAAGUUAAUAAUAUGCUAAUGUAGUUAUUUAUUUUUAAAAAUUUAUAAGUAUUAUAUAAAAUUAAAUAGCAUUAUAAAUGAAAUUAGAUAUUUGGAUAUGGAUUAGAUAACCAUCUAUUUAUAUUUAUAUCCAUUUUUUUGGAUAGAUAUAGAUACGGAUAUUAGUCGAAUACUCAAAUUUCUAUCCAUAUUUGAAUAGAUUUAGAUAUAAAAAUAGAUUCAAACGGAUAUUAUCCAUUCCACUCUCACUCUUAAGUUCAAAAAACAUGUAUGUUGUAUUUUGAUGGCUCGGUGACCUUUCAGAGGUAGUGCUAGAGCAAGCUAGCUAAGCUCCUAAUAUUUUAAAUUUAAUCACUGUCAAGCUCAAAAAAUAUGCCCCUUUUUUAAAAACCAAAAAUAAGUAGACUGGAGGCUUGUCUAAUCUUUAGGGCAACUACAUCAAUAGCAACAAAUGACAGCAACGCCAAGCAAUAGCAGCUCAGUGCCAUUCAAUUAACUGAGUCCAUGGGAAGGUCCAUAUGCAGGCUUUAUUAAGACGUUAGCCGGGACAUCUCCCAGUUUUCCAUUGUUUGCUAUUGAUAUAGGAUAUCUCCCAGUUUGGGUGGUCCAUAUGUGACCACCCAAACCAAACACACGGUAUCAAAUCAAAACGAAGAAAAAGAAGCAACGGUAAAAGAAACUGGAACGGGGUUGUAUCAUGAACAUGAUUUUCUGAUCCAUUUGGAUAAUUACAAACAAGCAACCAAAGGCUGGUCAAAUCAAGAACCCAAUGUUUCUCAGAUUAUGCUUCAUGAAGAUACAGCGAAGAAAGAAAAGAAAAUAAAAAAACAAUGACUCUCUCACGAUUUGCCUCUACAACAGAUUCUUUCACUUUUUUAACCCUUUUAUUUCGUCUAAUCCUAUUUCUAUCUUUGUUUUUUGGGGGGUAUCGAGAAGGCAGGAAUUAGACGAUUCCUAAAUGUUUCACUUUAGUUCUGUGCAGAUCUACAGAUGUUUACAACAGAAGUCUUGGGUUGGGGGGGGGGGGGGGGGGGGACGACAUGCAAACAAAAAGCAGCUAGCCCUAGGAACGGAAAUCAUGUGACCUUGUGUGAGGCCUGUAUGUAAUUCAUGAGCCUGUUCAAAGCUUUACCACUAUCAAUGGCUUCUCUAGCCCUAUCCAGAGCUGACAUAAUAUCCCCAGCUCCACUGCAGCCUAGCAAGUGAUCAACCAUGCCUGCAUUCAAAACAAUCCGGUCGUACGCUGGUCCUUUCUCGCCACCAAGUGCUGCUAGGCCCAACUCUAUGUUUCUUAAAACCUGAUUGAGAGGAUAAAACAGCACAUUAAUAUUGGCAUCUAAAUAUGUAAGAAUUCGGGGCAAAACAAGAAGUAUAAUAUCAUAAAAUCUCAAUAACACUAGUAAACUUUAUCUAUUGUCAGCUUUUAUAAGUGCUCUUCUGGCAUUCAUUCCAAUCCUCAAUCACUCUAAGCCUUUUAGAUUCGAUUACACAAAAUUGAUAAAAUAGGUUCCAUAGGAAUUAGCUGACAGAUUUCCAGUCACCCAUUUGUCGUCACUCUCGUCUAAACAAAAUCAAUGGUGGUAUUUAUUUUCUUGCAUGGCUUUCUCCCCUCCCCUUCGCAUCCAAUUUCCACCUUUUUUUAUUUACCAUCAUAUUGAGAUAGAGUUGGUCAGAAGACCAUAAGCCUAUAGUUUUCCAGCACCAUUUUAAAUAGCUCCACAAUCAUUAGCUAAAUGCAAUAAAAAAAAUAAAUCCAAUUGAUACAAACAGUAGGGAUAAGAAGACAGGAGCCUACCGAUCUAUCAGUUCUAGGAGUAUCUGUGGGUUCAAAUCCAUAAUCCUUUGCAUUAACCUCAAUACUGAAGCUUUCACGUGAAAUUCCUGGCAAAACAAGCAGAAAUAACCUCCACCAGAAUAUUUACUAAAAUCCAAAUAUUUUGUGCAUAAUGUAUUAUGCAUACAUAUAAUGUAAAACUGUUGGCUCAACAAUAAUGAAUAUGGCUAAUAAGAUGGAAAAACAUUCACUUUUAUUUUCUGAUAAUCCAUCAAGAACUAGGAACAGGAGAUCCAAGUUGUGAAGAAGACCCCCACAAGUCAAGUCCAUACCAUCAACAUCAGAGUUAGUUGCAUUGCUUGGCGAGCGAAAUCCAGAACAGUGGUUCACUGGAAGGCCUUUUGAUGCAUUUACUGAUCUCACCUUUGUUGUCAUUGAGAGUGCACCCUCCUCACCCUACAUGAGCAUCAUGUACAACAUGACUCUAAAUGCGAUGUUGGUAGACAGAUAUUAAGCUUGCAACAUAUGCAAAUGAUGCUCCAUGUAGUAGACUAUAUUUCGCAUUUGAAGCACAAAACUUUAAGACAGAUGGGUUCAGAGAAAUCAACUCAAUCAGCUUGUAACCAGCAAGGAUAUAAGCCAAAAUACACAUACUGUACUGAGCUAUUUUUAUGAAUGCCUUGGACUGAUUUUGAAGCAUGAAAGAUGAUGAGUGUUUUCUGUCCAGACUCUGAAUAUCAGAAACAAACAAUGUGUUUAAAAGAAAAACAAAUACUGAUGACACUCUCAUAGUUAUACUGGAUGUUUACAGGCUUUAUACUGAAAUUUUAAGAAAAAAGAUGGCUAUUUUAGUGCAUCUAAGUCAAAUAUAUGUGCUUGUUUUUGCUCAGGUUUGGUCCAAAAUUCUGGAUAUAAAAUUUGAAUGCCCACAGGACAGGUAGCCACAAGCAAUUUGAACUAAGAAGACAAGCUAGCAGCGAAAAAAUAGACGGUCCCUUGAAAACUUAAGGUAUGCUUUACACUAUAAGAGUGCAAAAUACCUUCACCACCAAUCCAGAAUGAACUUUUCUUCUUCUCAUAAGCAUUAACAGCGGAUCUUCAUAACCCUCAUGAUAGAAUCCAGCGACAAUAGAUUCCCUCCCACGUGCCUAAACAGAAAAAGAAGCCCCAUUAGAUUACCUGCUAGAAAUAAUAAAAGCUGAUGCUUGAGUUCCGGUGGACCUCCAAUGUACCUAUGCUCAAACAAUUAAAGAUGCAAGAGCCUGUCUUAUAGAGUGCAGGAUCUGAUUGUCCAAGAACUUGAGUGUCAACUAUCUGUGAGUGCUACAGCAGAAAAUUUUAUUGAAAAUAUAUCUUUGUUGUAACAUCCAGAAAAGAACUUUUUGUCAAACAAGUUUUGAGCAUUUUAUUAAGUCGGAUCUAACUUCAUGAUACCUAUCAGCAGAUUAAAAAGACAUAAUUUUUCACCAGAAGUGCAUAAUGGAUGUCAAGAAGCAUUCUAUUAGAGGCAGGUCUUGAGCUACAUCAAUUCAUAGUGCAAGCAAUCAACACUAAUUAUUCUGCAACAUGGGGGGAAAGAAAAGAAAAUAAACUAUUCACGUGACUACAGUUGAUGCUAGCAAUAUAUGACAAAAUAAGCAAACAUGUUUUAACAUUUUUAUCAAGAAAAGAAAAAUAUAUAUAAACCAUUAUACAAGUGUGUACAUCAUGCAGCAAGGCCAUAAUUUGGAGAAUCUUUCAAUACUGCAAUUGCAAAGAAAACCGUGAAUCAAUCACAUCUCAACGAACAUGAAACAGAUAUUGCAAAUAUUAAAACCUCUCAAAUUUCAUGGCAUCAGAUCAUGUUUCUCAUGGUAUUUCCUAUCGAGUUCCAAAUGGAAACAGAGUUCUUGGAGCUGCCGCUAGAAGCAUGCGGCUAUGUAGAAUGUUUUAGAGGAGCAUGGUAGGAAAUUUACAACUCACCCUCACAAACUGCUGAACUUUCUCUGAAGUUGCCAAUGGUGGACGUUUUUUAAUGUGCUCCCUGAGCCCAAUCAGGGAAUAUCUGCAGCAUAAUCAUGAUUAAGAAGUCAUGGUAUGACUAAGUUGUUUCAGCAUUAGGUAUGGAUAUUCUAGUGUAAAGUGAACCUGUUAUGCACUUCACAAGUCUAAAGGGGUUGAUAGGAUACAUGUUCAACAAGCUCUUAAAAAAUGACAAAGAAAUAGUCAAGAAUUUACAGAGUUAUAGCAGAAAUGGGGUUACCAUGACAAAAAGUUGAGCUGUUAAGAUGUGUUAAAUAAUGAGAGAAAAUGUUCUAUUAGUUCAGGAUGAUAUGUAUGCCUAAGUACUGACAAUACAAUAAAAGACGCUAAAGUAGAGAAACAAUGUAUUCCAAUACUAUGGCUUCAUUCAUCCCAACUAGUCUUCUAAUAUAAUUCAUUGUCUUGUUUAUCAAUAUGUAAGCGAAAGGUUCACAAGUUGUGACAAAUCAACUGUUUUAUGUACAUAUAUAGAAAUCAGAGCAACUUUCCUGGGUAUCUAAAGCAACAGAUGAUGCCUUGCUAAAUCUGCUCACACUGAAUUGCCAAGAAACCAAUGUACAAGAUAACUUUGAUAACUGUAGUUUGCUUGGAAGCUGACUAAAUUUGACAAGGAAAAAUAACCACUGCUAGGGUAAGUUCAUUCCCCAGCCACUUGCACAAACAAACCUUAACAAGUCUUGUCCCAUCUACUUUAGAUUGGCCUCACCAAUUCUUCCUUGCUGUCAUUCCUUCAUUAUAGAUCCUCAGUCAGACCAAGAAAUUUUCCAAUUGCUUAGAUCCUGCUGUCUUUUUUCAGACCCUUCACAUAAGCUCGAGCUCCAAGUGCUUUUCUUUUUAUUUUAUCUUAGUUGAUUUUUCUUCAAUCGAUCAUCUAACAGUGCAUGCUCUGUGAUUCUUGUCUUGCUAUCUCUACUCACUUUGGUAUUGCCACAAUAUUGCAGUCACAGUAAUGAUACAUGCAUCCUGUUUCUAGCUUAAACUUCCAAUAUAUAUGUCCAUGGAGUCACCAACCACAUCCAUAAUACGAAUGAUGAAAUCCAUCUAAUACAUGAUUUGCAACUUUGGACAAGAAAGAAUAUGCCAUGGAAUCAACAAGUCUUAAAGGAGGUCAUUGAUGAUUAAAAAAUAAACAAGGGAUUGCCAUUGUCCUUACAAAGAUGGACAAGCUUCCCGCUGACUCACAUAUGCAAAGCCAAUAUUUUCAUCCUGGAAAAACAGGAACAAAGUCGCAUAUAGCAGAUGAGAAAUAAAGACAUAAUAGAAUACCAGUUUCAAAUUUAUGUGCAGAAUUGUAAGCACCUCCAGCAAAGUUUUUGCUUGUGCAGGAGACAAAUAUGUAUUUGCUCCCAUAAACUUCAGCAACUGCCCUUCUGUUAUUCCUCCCUGAAAACCUUGAUAGCCAGAAAUCUCAGAGAAGUUUAUUGCAUGUAGGAUGUACUGAUCAUCAAUUACUGUAUUUAGAACCAGGAGCUCAGGAAAAACAACAAUGAAUACAAAAGUAAAUAGCAUGGGACAACAGAAGACUAAAUGUGCCACGGACCUUGGGUGGCAUCCAUUCAACACCAUGGAGUAAGCAAGAUUCAUCAUAACAAGCUCUCACAGCAGCAACAAACAAUGUACUCCUAAGAAAACGUGUGUUUCCAUCAUAUGGUUCACCAUAGUGUGUCAAGGAUCUAACAUCAGCAAUAGGAGGGGAACCUAAUAAACAGUGGAGGGAUUGAGCAUUGCAUAGGAACUGAAGGGCGGAAAUCAUCGUACCAUUAUCUUGAAUGUGAAAAUACAAGCAUUACCUAGUUCGUCAUCAAAUGCUAGACAAUAUGCUUUGAGCUCACGAUCAAUUUCUCUAUUCAUCCUCUGUCCGAUUAGAAAUGCUGCAAGCAAUGACUCACUGACCUUUACUGAUGUAUCAUCCUCGGGAUUCAAUGGAAGAACAUCUCUUAAGACACCCUGAACCUCCUCAUAACCUAAGUGACCACCUGCCAAAACCUCCCUUAGAGCACCCACCAGUCUCAUCUCAGCAGCUCCAUGGCCAACAAAAUGAGGCCCAAUUGAACUACAUGGUCCCAUGAUUGUGCCCUCAGGAUCAGCAAUAAAGAUUACAUCUUGCGGAAGAACCUGAACAAGGCGUGGCCACAAUAUGCUCAUGGCAUGUCUUUCACCCUCACUCCACUGGGUGGCCUCUGGAAAAGCAUUUGCUCGUAUUGUCAUUGCAGCAAAAAAGGCUCCAAGUUGUGCUUUGGAAACUUCUUCAUUUUUAAGUUCUCCCCUAGCUUCGAAAUAAUAAAAGAUUACAAGAUAAUAUGAAUAUGAUAAUCAACAAUAAUACACAAUUUGAACACCAAUCUUAACCUCAGUAGAAACACUUAGGCUUGUGCUCUAUCUACAUUUAUAUUUUUGUGCUCUAUCUAUAUUUUUAAAAAUAUAUGGAGAUUUGCUAUACCAUGCAGAUAUAAAAAUAACAAGUGAAAAAAUACAAUACAAGAGUGGACAAUAAGGAAGACAUCAUUCCCAAAAUUUAGCCACAAAACAGUAUAAGCAUAAAUUUUGUCGCUCAAAAUAGCAACAAAAAAAUGCAUAAGAAAAUCAGUAAUAAAACAAAAACAUCUUGAUGCUUGAUAAGCAAAAAAAACCAUGUUGGCUAGACUCAGAUCAAGUGCAUAAGUUUUAUGAGAAAUCAGAGCAACAGUUGGACUCUUCAGGCAGACAAUGAGCACAUACUUGAUUUGUACAUUCAUUAGUUACUUUUCAUUUAUUGUCUUCCACAUGUGGGUAGGGAGGUUGAAGAUAGAGAUUUUAAACUUUACAGGAAAAAUGCAAGCAAAGAUAUAGAAUUUGUACAAAUUUUGAGGCCCACAAGCAAAAAAGAGUUUAUGGGACGCAUAGCCCACCAAGGUUGGUGCUGGAAUAACAAUACUUUCUUUUAAUCAUUUUUGCAGCCAGUGAGGAGUUUCAUGCCAAGACAAUAAAGGCAGAGUCAAAUACUAAAAGCAAGGUCUGCAAAAAAUAGGGACUAAUGAAGAAAUAUUACUAGCAAUUGGCAGAAGAUUUUGAAAAGGAAAGCAGCAAGUAUUUCAACCAAGAAGGUUUUGUUGCAAGGAAAAAAAAAUGAUACCUGGAUUUAAAGUUGGAAAGUGAUAAAAGAUUUAGAGAAGGACAAAUACAAGGAGUUAUGGAAAAAUUGAGUCUUCCUAUAAGUGUUCUUCUUGUUGAAUCCUCAUCCAAAGUCUUCUCUAGUGGACAUUCCUAUAAUCCUAUUUCUACUAUGUUAUACCAAGGAAGGUUGCAUCUUUAUACCAAAGAAGGUUGUGUUCCUUUUAAUUGAAGAUAUAUUCUUUCAGAGGGAUGAAGCAUCACCCAAGGUCAUGUCUUUAUACCAAGGAAGGUCGUCUUCCUUUUAAUUGAAGAUAUAUUCUUUCAAAGGGAUGAAGCAUCGCCCAAGGUUUAUCCUCUAUAGCGGUAUUCUUACUUCAGAAAUAGUGAAGAAACAAAAACAUACAUGCCACUGUACAAUAACCCAUGCAGAAUCUUGUGCUUAUGUUCUGGCUAUUUUUUCUUUUGGAAUAUGAUCUCAACUUUCUUUUUAUUUGCCACAAACCAUAUAACCAUUAAAGCUGCCCUGCAGCAUCUACAAAUUGGUCGCUAGACCCAUUAAUUGACCUCCAAGCAAUCUUUUCGUCCAGGCUUGUGAUGAAGAAAUCCAUUCGACUGUGCUUUAGAAGUUGUUUUACGUCUUUCAUGUGCUGAUGAUAAUUUGCAGUAACAUAUUGAUUUUCACAGAAAUAAGUCAUAGACUUUAAGAAUCAGCAAUAAAAUUACUCAUUUGGUUGGAUUCUUUACAGACUAAAGGUCUUUCCGAAUAAGCAAAUAAUAUUUACACUAUUUGAGUACCAAAUAAUCAGGGGAGAAAAUAUAUUGCAAAUAUCGCGUGAUGGUUAUCGGUUCUUGGUCUAAGCAUAUCCCACGAAGAACAAUAUACCAAAAUUAUCUAUUUCAGUUUUCUUUUUUUGAUUACGAUUCGUUGACAACUAACUGGAUAUAACCACUUCCAAGUACAGAAAACGAAAUCCAGAUCAAAAUACUAGGAUUUGGCGCAUAUUACGAAAGAAUCAAGAAAACAACAUAUGAAUUAACUCAAGAAAGACCAACAGCACUGCAAUCAAUAGGAAAACGACUGAAAGAAACUCACCUGAUCUCAGAAUUGUAUCAAGAACCACUACCGCCUGCUCCUGGCUGAGCGGCUUCGUCUGCUCCGGCCCGGUGCAGACCUUCGUCUGCGCUUCCAGCACCACCCGAUUGGGCUGCGGAAUCUUGGACGGCCUGUACGAUGUAGAGAUCGCCGGAUUCCGGAUGUCCGCCUCCAGGAACCCCGCCUCGUCAAUCGUCGCCGCAGAUCUCACCGCCGGGUGGCGGCCUUUCCUCGGGGUGGAGAGGCCGAUCCGGCGCUCCCCAAGCCGGAAGGGGAUCCAAUUCGUCAAGUUCGAGAGGGUCGUUCUUCUUGCAGCAGAGAAGCAAAAGGAACUAGGGUUAAGGUUAGGGUUAGGGUUUGGGUGUAGGAGGGAGUUCAUGGUAUUGUCGUCCCGUAGAGCUCGAGCACGGAGGGUGGAGGAUGGGAAGGGGUUUUGUCGCAUGGAGACAAAUUUACCGCAUGAAAUUAUUAUCUAGUCCCCAUGUAGAACCUUAAUUCUUUAAAUUUCUUUUUUUCAACCCCCUUGUGGAUCUCGAACAAUUGUUUAAUAAGUGUGCGACGUUUUUGCUGUCGUUGCUUUAGUGCCUAUCUAUAUCCAUGCGAGGUCAAAUCAACAUAUGAGACCCAGAUCCAAUCAAGCGGUUGAUGGCUCAAGAGUCAAAGUCCACAUAAACUCUGGUAUGAUCAAGUUUAACCAGGGUCUGCUGGCAUCAGCAUUUAGAGCAGAACUUAAAAUAGCAUGAAAGUAUAUCUUUUUUGCAAGAUAAGUUUUAAAGGCCAAGCGCAUCAUUUUGGAAGGUAACCCAGUAACGAUAAUUGAGUUGAUAUUAAAGGACGCACGGAGCGAGGCACUAUAUUCAUUACUGGACGGCAUCCAUUGGCUGGUGAGAGAAUACGAUCAGGCUGUGUAUGUAUAUAGAAAAGCAAAUAGUACUGCUGACUAGGUCCGUUCUAUAUAGCCUAUCAUUUCAGAGAGUCUUUUGAUUCUGUUGGCCUUACUCACGGGAGAUUAGGAUGAGUAGCGUCUCAAAAAAUAUGAGAAAUAUUUCAACCAUAAAAUUUUGGUCUCUAACAUUAUCUAUCAACCAAAUACAUUAUUAAUUUUCUUCCACAUAUAGCCUAGCACGUAAGGUAUAUGUGCAUGCUUGCUGUACCUGGAUAUUUAAUUUUUGAAAACAAUAUGGCAUAAUAUUUUCUGCUAAUAUAUUAUUUCAAACUAUGAAUCGCUCUAACUAUAUAGAAUUAGUUUCAAUUGAAAAGAGUUUUGGAUGGAUAAAAUUCUAAUUAAGAAUAAACUUUGAAGACCAAAAGUUAGGUUGGGAAAGAGAAGUGCAUGUAUACUUUUUUAAAUAUCAAAUUUUACAUAAAUAUUUUUCUAAAUUAAUAUUUACAUAUAUAUUUUUAUAAAAUACUUAUUUUGCUAUUUUAUUUUUUUAUUUUUAUUUUUUAUAUGUACCUAUGUUAAAAAAUUAAUAGUUUCAAAUUAAAAUGACUAAAAUAUUUUUAAUAAGUAAAUGUGCAAAAAUAAAUAUUUAUAAGUGAUUGAGGAAAAAAAAAUGUUUUCAAAAUUUUCUUUUAUUUUUAAUUAAAAUAAAUAUAUUUUUUAUUAACGGUGUUAGGAGAAUCGUUAUAUUGGAGAUAUUUAUAAAAAAAAUAUUUUAUAAAUAAAUAUAAUUUUUGAAAAAAUAUUAUAUAAAUUUAAAUUUUUAAAAAGUAUCCAUGCAAUUUUUUUUUAUUUCUUUCUUUCUUUGAAAUUAUAGCCUCUGGGAGACACGCUGGCGUUGAGGCCGGCAACAUAACAUGGUGUGGGGCUUUUAUUGCAGUUAUUCGGAUAAAAUAGCAGCAACCAUAAGACAUCAAAAGCCCGUAACGGCAAGUCCGUUCACGCGAACGGCAAUUUUUUUUUUUUUUUUCGCUUAAAACGGGUUCUUCAAACAAAGCGUGUCCGAAUACACCCAAGAACAUCAAAAUACAAAAUCUCGCGUAGCGCCGAUGGCAGCUCCCGCUCUCCUGACCACAGGGCGUAACCCGAAUGGUGUGCUACAUAUGUAGCUACCCAGUCAGUCGCCCCGUUGGCCUCCCUGUAUACAUGCUUAGCCUCAAAGGCCACAACAUCUCUCACCAUCAACCUAAUAUCCCGGAUCAAAGGAUGGUCAGUGCUCUCCCGCCGAAUCCACCCAAUGACAGUGGAUGAGUCGCCCUCCAAGAUGAUCGAGCUAGCCCGCAAUACCCGCCGCGCAUGGCAAAGGCCGGCCCAGGCAACUCGCAACUCCGCCGCUGGCACUGAUAUGUCAAAUAGCCGGCAACCGCCCGCUGCCACUACCCUAGAGUGAGGGUCACGUAUGACAAAGCCGGCACCGCCUCGUGUGCCACUGUCUAGUACUGAACCAUCAAAAUUGACCUUGAGGAAACUCGGGGGUGGGGGCUCCCAGGUGAAGAACACCGUCCGAAGAACUGCCGGAGCAGAGAAAGAACCCCAGGUGUCCCGAGCUAUCAAGGUCGUAUCUGAAUGGCUGGUAGGUCUGGACUCCAUUGCCAAUACUGAGCGGACUCCGCAACAAACCUCGGCGACAUCCUACGCUCGCCAAAGGUGCGAGCGUUCCGUGCCAACCAGAUCUGGUGGGCGGUGCAAAUCGCUCGGGUAGCCUCCUGACAUGUCCGGGGGCUAGCCAGCCACUGACGAAUCAUCUGUAGAAACAAUCUCCUCUCCCGCCAGACCUCCUCUGGGAUCCCCGACUACUGCCAUGUCUGCCUCGCCCAAAAGCAGCUGCUCCAUGUGGCCAUACAUUGGUAGCCGUCGUAUGAGACAGCUGUCACGAGCUGAGCCCAUCAAAAGAAAUCCAUUCAAACAGCUUUUGGAACGGAGCUACUAACGGCUUCCGUCCCCCACAUCCGCCGCCCUAUAAGUACGCACUCCCCUUAUCGGCUCCGUUAUUCUUGACGACAACCAAGAGGAGAGAAAUGGCGGGAGCCCUGGGAUUCUCGCCGGCGGUGCCGUCCGCCGGAGUGUUGGUAGUGGCGGAGCAGUGGGAGGUGGAGUUCUCCCGGUUCUUCAACUUCCCGCGGCGGCCGUCCCUCCUGCCGCCCGGCCUUCGGCCCCUCCCCAAGGGCAAGCUCCGGUCCAACGGCACCUGGAUCACCUCCGCCUCCCCCGCCCUCCUCCGCGUCCUCAAAUCCCACGCCUCCGCCGCCCCCGUCCUCUCCGUCUCCGUCAACGGCAAUGUCCACGUAGGUCUUCUCUCUUCCCUCCCGAUCGAACUCCUUUUGCAGCUCAAAUCCGUGGUGACCCUAGCUUACAAUGGAUUUCUCGCAGAUUUCCCUCCGCUAUUGUCGAGGGAGAGAUCCAUGCAAGCCUAGUAGACUUAAUUAGUUGCAUGCAUAAUUUCUGUUAUUUUUCCCAAGAUUUGCGGUGCUAUUGAUGGUAUUUUUCUUUCUUCCUUGAGUUUUUGUCUCUUCUUGCGUCGCAUUGCUGUUUAUGUAUUAUUCUCAACAUUCAGUUUGGUAGUUUCUUGAGUUUUCGUGUCAUAGUUGCGUUUAGAUUCAUGGAAAGUUGGCCUUGUUUGCUUGAUUUCUUCUGUUAUCUCACGAUAGCUAGACUCCAGCUCCAAGAUUUUCUUGAUUUUUUUUUUUUUGGUAGAAAAUAUCAGGAUCAUUUUACGAUUUUCUUGAAUAUUCAUGAAACAUCUAGCAUUUUCCAUCACCUGGGUGCUCGAAGCCGACAGGGUUCUUCAGAUUACAUGUUUGUUUAUUCAAAUCAUUUUGUGAACUGCGUACAGAGAUGGAGGGGGUUUUCUUUAUUUUUCUCUGAUCAUCAACAUGUUUGGAUCCCACCCCCCCAAAACCCAACUUCCCCUUUUGUUACCUCCGGAAAUUUUUGGCCUCAUUCAAAUUGCUCUGAAACUUCUGGGUUGUUAGACAACUUUAUUAGUGCUUGGAGUUUCAUGCAUAAACUGAGCAAGCUGAUCUUGGUUUUCUGCUCCAGGAGGAGCACUUUAUCUCGAAUCUGCACUUCUCAUGGCCACAGGUGUCAUGCGUUUCCCAGUGCCCGAUCAGGGGGAGCAGGGUAGUGUUCCUAAGCUACAGGGAUUGCUCCAGUCAGGCAAGUAGAGCUACCAUCUCAUUAUGGUACAAUGCUCAUCGUUAUAGCUCAAUUCCUGUUGUAUUGAUCAGGAAAUAGAAAAGUUCAAUAACUCAAUGUGUACAACGUUCAUUAAAAUUCUUUGAGUCAUAUGAAGGAAACCCGUGGAAAGUUAAUAGCCUUCCGUUUUACAUAUUCUUUUUGACAUCAUUUGUAAAUCUUGCAAUUCCGUGUCAGUAAGUAUGAGGCUCUUUCUAUCCAGUUGUUUGUUGUUUGCUUUCCUGUUCUACAUAAUCAACCUAUACUAAAUAAUGUGUCUCCAUGCUUGCAACUCCCUCCAGUUUUCUAAUGUAUUUAUAUGACUGUUAACUUGUAUAGCACUACUUGCGCUUUAUGUUGAUUAUUCUGAAUGUUUGGUCCUUAUCUUGCACAACUAUUGAUGAUAAAGAGCUCAUCUUGUGAAUUUGCAGAUUCAGAAAUUUGCGGUGCGGUUUCCUGCAUGUUGUGAUGCAGAAAAAUUCUUAAAUUUUGUGAAGGUAGACCAUCCCAUUUCUUUCUUACAUGGGAUUUCUGUUGCUUUACCCGCUCAUUUUAUUAAUUCGAUAAUGAUCAUUCAAUAUGUGCUGUGAUGUAAGCACACCACUGUUGCCCUUUUCCUGAUGCUGUGGGCAGGAAGGUGACAAUGAAAUAGGGCCAUCACGGUUGGCGUUGAGAACAGAGUGUGACAUGCAUGCUCAGCUAGUCAUCAUAUUUGGAAACCUUGACCUAAUGAUACUUUUGUGAUGACAGCACCUGAGGCAUGCGCUUGGCAUCAAAAAGAAUGAGCAAGUUUGUCUAUAAUGUGUUCUUAAUAAGCCUAGAUUCUUUUUGUUAGCUGGAUAGAGGUGCAAUUACCUGUGUCUCUAACAGAAAUGAUUACUGAUGAGUUUUUUUUUCUUCUUUUAAUUAAGUAGCUGAAGAUCAUGCUAGUAUGAAACUGUGAAUAAGAAUGCCUUUAAAGGUUUUCCUGCAUUACUAAGAGUUCUAGAAAGCAAUACUAGUUGACUAUGGACAUCCACACUUUUGAGGGGACUAAACACCCUGAAAGUAUUUAUGCCAAAUUGAGCUCAGCAUGACUAGAAGUAUAUUGCAAUUUGGGGUUAUUAUCUCCGGGGAGUGUAGAAGAAUGGACAGCAUCAUAUGAAGUAAUAGAGCAUCUUUUCUGGUAGAUCCCUUUUGUAAAUUAUUUUAUUUCUUUAUAAAUCCAAAAUUCCAGCUGGCUUUGCUAGUUUACAUGCACUGCAUGAAAUUCUAUAGUAGAUAUCAAGGAAUUAUUAAUGGAGAGGUCACAGUUUUAUGUAUUUGAAUUGUUUUUUUAAUUAUAGAAAACAUAUUGGAACAUUAGAAAAAAUAAAGAACACCAUUUAUUAGUGCAGUUGGUGGCUUUUUCCUUGUUUUUUUUUUUUGCAAAUUUAAAAUUGUCGGAAGGAGAUCUUUAUGCACUAUAUAAGUACUGCAACAGCAGCCAGUUUUGUGAAGGUAUAGGCAUGUACCUACAUUAUUAAUUAUUCACGAGGACCUGGGAUUGGUUCUUGUAUAGGCAUAACUGCGUGAUGAUGGGUUACCGAACAGUCCACUCAGCAGUUGGUGGUCUAAAGAACUGCAUAUAGAGUUCUAAUACAAUUACAGGUAGAAGUUGGUUUUGAUGAUCAGCUUUUCCAUCGAUCUUAUCGCAGAACGCUUUGUUGCUUUGCUGUAUGCGUACUGUAACAACCCAGGACCUCACCCAAAAUGGCUAGCCGGAAGGUAUUAUUUGGGUUUCUUGAUCCUGUAUAAGUACCCAAAAUCUACCCAGCGAAUAACCGAUGUGGGACUAAACACACACCCGCACGGAUCCUCACAUACUUCCCCCAUUCAAGCCCUGACGUCCUCGUCAGGCUAAGGGUUCAAAUCUAUUCAAAUCUAAUCACUAACACCACGAUUGGCCUGUGGUCAGCCCUAAUGGAUCCGUACUGCAGUGUCUCCUAGUCCACAUAGGUUAUGAGCCGUAUCCGCUCUGAUACNNNNNNNNNNNNNNNNNNNNCCGUACUGCAGUGUCUCCUAGUCCACAUAGGUUAUGAGCCGUAUCCGCUCUGAUACCAUUUGUAACAACCCGGGACCUCACCCAAAAUGGCUAGCCGGAAGGUAUUAUUUGGGUUCCUUGAUCUUGUAUAAGUACCCAAGAUCUACCCAGCAUAUAACCGAUGUAGGACUAAACACACGCCCGCACGGAUCCUCACACGUACCUUGUGAAAUACUUUGCCAUUUAGUCAACAUCAGCGGGGCAUUAAUAAGACCAAAGUUUCCUUCAUCUGUAACUAAUGAAAUUCUAAAUGAUGUAAUAGGUCUAGUGUGCAUUUCGUACGAACUGCAACCGCGUCAGCUUUCUUCAUAUGGUAAUUAUCAUAAUAAAGUGUUGCAUCAGUAUCCUAGCAUCCCACUGAUCUAUAAAAAGAAACUACAUUGUUGGGAAUCCAUUGAUUAAAUCUCCACUAGAUUCGCCAUCAAAUUACUUAAGCUGAUCUAGGUGUCUGUCAUGCAAUUUUAGGAAUGCUCAAGGGACAUAAUGGAUAUCAUGCCUCCAGGAAGUGAUUUUGUGUGUGAGAAUUCGUCUCCUUCUGAAUUUAUUGCUUCAAAUGGUCUGCAUUAUAGGUGAGAAUCUUUGCAAUUAUUUCUUAUACUUAACAGCAUAUUUGGCUCAGGGAAGAAAACAAAUCCUAAAACAUCUGCCUGCAUUUGUGGCAUUGUAUUUAUAGGUUUGAUGGGGAAUCAAGCUUUGAAGAGCCUGUCAUGACAUGUGCUCCAGAAAUGCCAGCUUUGAGCUAUAAUGAAGAGCAAACUGAGUGCUCUCUUCGGCCUGUGGUUGCUAACAACAUUGAUACCAUUUUCUCAGGCUUACCUCCCAGCUUUACAGAGCUACUAACCAAUUGCUCAACUGAUACUGAAAAAGGUAUGCCAUUCGCAUGAAAUGUAUUUAUGCUAGUUCCAGUAAGAAGCAUCUGCUUAAAAGCAUUUAUGAUUAGUUUUUCUUCCAUUUCUAACUGAAUGAUACUUUGUUGCAUUUUGUCUUGCUUGGCCUUUAUUGAGACAGUGCAAAAGCUGACAGCAAAUACUGAUCCUGCAUCACAGAAUGGGGUACUUAUUUUCAUUUACUUCCUAUUUCAAUUUCUUCAAUGUAAUAUCUUUUUUUUCAAAUUAUUUGGUCUUUUCAAUCAAGCAAGGCCUCUUAAAAGCAUGUUCUAGUUUGAUCUGAAAACUUUCUUUCAGGGAUACCCGUUGGAUCCGUCAUCUCACGGUAUUUCAAUAUUCAUCCACUGAUAUGCUGGACGCAUGAAAAUCUUUAUGGGACACACCAAUUUAGUUAUUCUAACCAUGCUGUUGUUUCUUUCUAAAGGAAUUGCUGAUGCUGCCAAACAACCAAACUCAAUGGAGGUGGAGGAAACUGAUCUCAAGACUCAAAUUGCGGUAUUGCUGUUUGCUUUCUUUUUUAUGUUGGUCCUUUCAGAAUGAUUGGCUGCCUAAUUGUACUGUUGUAUUUCUUUUAUUUUCCUUUUUCCCCAUGUUGGCUUCAGAAAUACAUGUCAGAUGCUUCCUUUCAUGGUAUGGUUUUGCCUUGUCACUUUCUUUGGAUCCUUUAAUUUUUCCAGCACAUAAAUUUUAUUGCCACGACUCAAGAUAAUACUCUUCCUACCUUGUUAAUACAUAUAUUACUAGCUGAAUUUUGUAAUUGAUUGUAGUCUCACAAGCAUUUUUUUUGGUUCUUGUUUGUGCUCUUACCAGAGAUGCUGUUCAAACUAGAGAAAGUUAUUGAUGAAUUGGGUGGUGAUCUGGCACUGCAGGUGGCCAGCCCCUUGCAUGACUGAAGGCCAGGCUUUUAUCAUUUUGGUCCUUUUUAGUUUUCCUAAUGGUACCAGCUGCUUGAGGAUGUGAAGUUCCUUAUCUGUAUAGAAACAUUUUUUUUUUCUUUUGUAGAGCCACCAUCUAACCAAAAUGGAACUGCUGGUUGACGAUAUCAAUACAUGUUCAUAUAUACAGACCGCUAGAUAUCGCGCUAGGCAGUAUGGGUCCUUUUUGUUCUCCUUCAAAGAGAUCAAUGGAUUAUUGCCCUGUUCUACUUUUGCUCUCGUCAUGUUCACCUCUGCAGAGUUCACAGUCACUUCUUUUCAGGAACAGUUUGUGGCCUUUUGUUGAAUCAAUUUUGGUGUCGAUUCACAUAAUGAGGUAUCACCUAUUUGGCAGGGCAAAUUUGAGCAUACUACUGCCGCUCCAGGGAGAAGAGUGUCCUUCCAGGUAUAUGCAUAACUUUUAUUCUCUUGUUUUGAAUGUGAGGAUGGGCAUUGGCAGAAUGGUAAGGCUGCGCACAUGCCCUUCUAUGCUUUGAAUGUAUUUAUUUUUUGAGAAAAAAGUUUUGAUAUAUUUGUUGUGCAACUCCGUACCAGUGGUGCUUUGAAUGUAUUUUUUUGAGAGGAAAUGUUGUAAUGGUAGGAAUCUUGGAAUACCUUUUUUUGUUUUUGUUUUUAGCUUUGAAUAUAUUUAUUUUUGGAGAAAAAAGUUUUGAUCUGUUUGUUGCUGUGGGACACCCCUGCAUGUAGGGGGUGCAAAUGGGUCGGGUUGACCCUAACCCGAUCCGAUUAAACUCGAUCCGAUCCGAUUUAAAGGAUCCGUGGGGCCGAGUUGGGUUCUAAAAUUGGACCUAUUUCAUUAUCGAGGCUGGGUCUGGAUUUUCUGAAUUCUGGCACGAUCCGACUCGAUUCAUUUGAAAUUUGGGUAAUUUUGAGUUUUCAACCCUAUGACUCAUCCCGACCCUGUUAAACUAUUUGGGCUCGCGGGCUGCAAGGGUGCAAGCCUAACAUCUCAGUUGGGUGCUUAAGGUAUGGCCCAUUUGUGACUCCGAAGAGUUAAGUCUUAACUCUUAAGUGUUCGGUCUCUACUCUGUAGUCUCCACCAUUUCGAUUUUCCACUGAGAUUCAUCUUUUUGACUCUUCCCCUCUUCCGUCUCGCCAUCUCGAGUCUCGAUCCGUUUGGCUGUCCCAGGUCGGCAAAUUUUCGUUGGCCAUCACUCUCUCUCCCAGACGAAAGACCCCAGUCGUAGUAGAUUUGCCAGUUCUCGUCCAUCGCGAAUCACAAUCGAUCGCACCCUUUGGUUUUGCAAAAUUCUAGAUCCGGCAUCUCUUCGGCGUUCGAUCGCACCCUUUGGUUUUGCAAAAUUCUAGAUGCAUCUCUUCGGCGUUCGAUCGCACCCUUUGGUUUUGCAAAAUUCUAGAUCCUGCAUCUCUUCGGCGUUCAGCAACUUCAGCGUCCAGCAACUUUGGCGUACUUCGUUUCGACUCUUAAGGUACUUCCUUCUCUGAGACCCUACGAUUGCAUAUUUACUAUUUAGGGAGGGAGGGAGGAGAGAGAGAGAGAGAGAGAGAAGGGAUUGGCUCAAUUUUUUUAUCAUAUCUUAAGGUGGCUUCGGUAGCUCUUUGAACUUUCUCGCUUUCUUCUUUAUUUUCUCGAUUUUUAUCAGCGUGUGCGAAUUGCCGGAUCAACAGCAAAUUAGAGUUCCAAGAAUUGGAUGCUUUGAGGCUUUCUCUAGAGCAGCAUGGUUGUCUUUCUUGCUUCCGGAGCCACUAUAGAUGGAGGGGUUGCAUUAAAAGACAUGCAACAGGUGUCUUUUAUGACAAAGCAAGCCUCUCAUUUCAAAAACAUUUAUCUAACAGUGGCACUGUAAGUUCACCCUUUCUAGCUCUUUUUACCUGCCAUAGUCAAGCCAUCCUCUUGAUGUUCGUGAUCUAGCGUGCUCCUCUUUUCAGUCCUAAUGAUAUAAUUAAUAAUGAUAGUUGAGGUAUUUGACAACUGAUUUUCAAGUUUCUUGCUAAGGGAUCUGGAAAGAAAAAGGAAGAAAAAGCAAAAUAUAAAUCUUUGAAACUAGUUGGUAAAUAUGAGGCACAUAUAGAUAUAGGAAGGAAAAAAAACCUAUUUUGAAGAUGAAUGAAUUUAUUGUCUAUUCAAACAUUUUCUAUAACUAUGGAAUACUAUAGUUUUUAAUUUAUUGUGAUGUAACUACCAAAUGUUCUAGAUGUGCUCACCGAUAGCAUUCUACAAUAAGAUUUUUAUAUUUCCUCCGGCUCUAAUAAAAUAGGAUUUUUGUUUAAUAAUUAUUCUUAAAUGCUUCAAAAAUUUUCAAGAUGUAGUUGUUGAAUAAACAGGCCCGACGAGAACCCGAAUCAGAGUCAAAUUUUUUGGGCAGAUUCGUAUUAUUUAUGAACUCAACCCAACUCGAAUGACCCACUGAGUCGAAAAUUGUAGCUGUGGAUCUAAUUUGACUCAAUCUUUUAUUGGGUUGGAUCUGGAUCCAAAUUUAAGACCAGAACAAGUAAUCAGAUUGGGUUGGAGUCUCUCGGUACCCGAUCCAAUCCUACCCAUUUGCACCUCUAUCAGGAACACCUCUUUAAACUUUGAACGUACUUAUUUUUCCGUUGAAGAAAGAAACUUUUGAUAUAUUAGUUCCGUGACUCAGUUAUUCAAUCACUGAUCAACAUGUGUGUACAUCGAUUCAAUAAUAAAUUCACCAGCGGCUGCAUUCUUAAUACAUAGAAAAAAAAUAGGACGCUUAAAACAAGCUGGCAUUCUUCCUGACCUCCCCGUGGUUCCUCGUCCGUCCACAAAUUGACCAUCACCUACCUGCCCAGACUGCUUCGGCCCUGAGCAUGGUCCAAAACUUCUCGUGUUGUCAUUUAUAAAAUGAGCUGCACCGGUUCAAAAUAUAAAGGAUUAAAGAAACUCAAACUCUGUAAACGUAAGGGAUUUGUGUUCGAUAAUAAUUUUUCAUUUUUUUCCAAGUUCAUAUGUCAAUUACCAGAACCAUAUGGCCCAUUUUCUUAGCACUCUAGGAAAAGCCACCAGUCAAUUUCAUACACAUUAAAAUGUUCUGUCACAUCCAUCAGAAUGAAGACUUGAACCCCGAAGAGGGAUGCCAAGAUUGUGGAGAUCCACCAUUAAACAAGGGGAAAAUCUACUGCUUGUUGCUCUUACUUUCAUACAUACAUUAAGAACUACAUGCCUAAAAGAAUUAUAUUAGUCAAUUAGAGGACACGUUGCUCCUAAAUGUACACAAUGGCACUAAUAGUAGCAAUACACCCUUCAAAGUUCGUAAGGAGAUUAUUCUAGUGUCCUAAUUCAAUUUUUGAGGUACAAGGUUAAUCAACAGAAAACAUCAAGGUAGAAUUUCAUAAGUUACUAGCAAAAGAAUCUUUAACUACACUGACCUUAUGAUAUCACUCCAUUGUUUGUUGCUAUGUUUGCCGUAUGUACAGCUCCUGCCUUACUAUGAAGAAGCAUCCAAUACAACUUCCUGGACCCAUUAUGAACUGCUCAUGAAAAGUCCCCACACGCUUACUAGCAACAUCAAGUGAUAGUUCUUGCAUAUUGGGCAUUCCUUCGGCUUGCAUCCCAUUUCCACAUAUAAGAAAGUGGUUUCCAACGAUGAAGGAUCCUGACGCACGAAUUGCAACCCCGUCUUCCCCAUGCAGGCGACACUGAAGCUUCUCCACAACAUGCACAAGUUUCUCUUGGGGCCGAUCACCUGCUAAUUUUCUCCUUAUAUCUGAUAGAAUUGCAAAUAUAUCAUUCUGUCCAACAUACUGUUUUCCUGCGAAGCUGGUGAAACAAAUAUGUUAUAUUAGCAAACAGGUGCUGCAGCUCAUUCAGUUACAUCGACGCAUCUGUGCACAAUUUAAUCAAGAAUGCUAACAAAACACACGUUUCCUUAAGGUUAUGGCUGGCUGCAAAGCCAUAUAAAAUUCUUUUAUAUUUGAAGUAAACUCACAUGACAUUUUAUACAACCAUAUCCAUCAAGCUUUGUCCCAACUAUUUGGAAUUGGCUUUAUUCGCCCCUACCGGUCAAUCUUUCUUGUCAAGAAAGCAUCUCAUUUUGUCACCAUAAAAUUUCCCAAAUCCUUCACAAUUUCCAUGAAUAUUAUGAUAGAUGGGCUAUUCCAUCUUUUACAUAAAAAAUGGAAAAAGAGAACCACCCCUGUUAUCUAGUUCUCCCCCCCUUCAUUCAGAAUUCUUUGUCAAUCUCUCUUUAGUCCUUUCUUGCACAUGAUCGUUACCAUCUGGAUCAGUUUUCCACUACUUCCCAACUGGUGCAUCUCCUACACCUCGAAUAUACUAGUUCCUCACUCGAUUCUCCCUAAUUUUGGAAUGCAUUAGUCAAUGUUUUUAUAGCUACCAAAAUUAAUCUUGCUUCCCUGGACCUCUACUGCCAACCAAUAUGAGAUAUAUAAUAUUACAUAACUGAUUGCCAUUAUAUAUACUGCUUUAUAUGUAAAAAUGUGUGUUGAUUUAUGUACGCAGGUAUAUGUGCCUGCAUCAAAAAUGCAAUUACAUAAUAGAUUGCAUAUCUUUAUUUGUAAAUAUACUUAACAUGUAUUAAGAGCACCUAAACAGAUUUGACACAAGAAAACAACGUUAUCCCCAGCUAACUGAAAUUCGUUGUGUUGUUGCCUAGGGACAUCAACCAAACUAAUUAGUCUUACAACUGACAAUAUCCAUAAUGUUGCUGCUGAUGCUAGUAUUUCUAAAUUGGCAAUGUACUAGCAAAUAUUUUACCAGAGGAAAGGGAGCCAUGACUAGCAUGUAGACACUACUUUGUUAUGAUGCCAAAUCUAAUCUGGACACUUGUGAUUUACAUUUACAAUCUACAGUUCCUUUUAACCAAAAACACUAUCUACUAGUAAUAAAAGAAGAACAAAGACAAUCCUUGUGUUAGAUCAUUUAUGCAUUUCUAUUUUCUCAUUUUUUUAUAUUCACUAGAAAUGCCUCCUAGUUGUUUUCGGAUGAUCUCAAGUGUAUAUGGUAGCCUAGGUUCAUUUGAAUCAGAAGCACUAUAUUUAAUUUAAUCUCACUGAACAUUUCUAAUCCGAUUAAUGUUGCAUUGGUUUUAUGGAUUAAGACACUCAAUUUGAGAACCCUUAUGACUAGCUCUCUGUCGAAUGUCAUCCCUUCUCGAGUAGUACGACAUUCCUGGCCAUGUGAUGCAGGAGCCUGGGAAUUAGGGCUGCACUGCAUAUAUGUGAUGGUUGGCCUUGAAGGAUUUAGGCUUUUAAGAAGGAUCUCGGGGUUUGCUUCCCAGCACCAGACUUCUGAAAAGAUUGGAACUUAUUGCAGUACUACAGAAAAGGGAGAUAGAGGGUCUUCCUGUAACGGUUGUUGGGAUUUAGGGUUUUGUGAAUAGUGAGAAGGCUUAUGAAUGCUUCCUACGAGAUCUGUAAUCUGAAAUCUGUGUUAUGGAUGCAGGUUUCUGCAAUAACAAGCAGAUAUUUGGACAGUCCCAUGAAGUUCUGAGCUUGUGUAGACAGGACACUAGAGGCACAUAUUACGUGAGAGAAUAUGGGCGGAUGGACCCAUUUCACCCCCUCCCCACUCCCCCACCCCACAACCCAAAAAGAAAAAUAGAGAAGAACUAGAGAAGACAUAAGAUGCAGAGAGAGAGAGCAAAAGGGAGGCGAGAACAGCUAAACCUAGCCUUCUUUCUUUCAAUCAAACUAAUUCAAAACCCACACCCAAAAAGAGAUUAUUACAGCUUUAUGAUCUAGACAUAAAGUGCUAACAACGUCAAAUCUUUACUCUUAAACUAAAUAAAUCUAACCAAUUACUUCAAACAUAAGAAACACUGAAAUACCUAAAAGCCUCUCAUAAGCUACUACUAGUAUCAUGACAUUCCCCUGCUAUGGCAUCAUGGAUUCUACAGUACCAAGAACAGUAACAGUGACUUGAAGCAAAAAAACUGUAAGUGGAACUACAACUCUUCCUGAAAGCAUACCAUAAAUAGCACCUAUGGUACCAUGAAUCAUAAUCCCUAAUGCUAAAAUAACCUCAUAUCACUGUCUCCAAACAGCAUUAAAACCAUGGUCGGCAGAACCGUCCCGAACCGCCUGGUUUGGGGCGUCCCGAGCCGUACCGACGGCGGACCGAAAUGGUUCCGCCAUCGAAACUGAGACCCCAUCGCUGAAGGGAGAGAAGGAGAAGGAAAAAGAGGAAAAAAGAGAGUGGGGGAGUGAGGGAGAGGGCGAGGAAGGAAGAGAGGUCGGUCGGGGCCGGCUAGCAGAGACCAGGGAGCCUCCGCCUCCAUGCAGAGGCUCUCCGAUUUUCGCCGAUAGGCCUCUCUCUUCCUUUCUCUCCCUCUCCCUCCCUCCUCGGCUUUCUCUCUUUUUCUCUCUCCCAUUCUCCCUCUCCCUCGCCUCUACUGUGUCGGUAUUGGGCCGGCACACCACGGUGCAGGGCCGUACCGACCCGUGCCGCCGGGCAACCGGUACGGAGCCUCGUACCGGCACAACAGACGUUGAUUAAAACCUUCACUAAGAAUGUGGUCUUGCUGGGUUCCAUGAAAAUAUGGAACUUCAUAUUAAAAUUAGAGAUCCGAUGGGCACAGAUCCCAUGUCUGACUCAAGUAAUGUACCCAAAGAAUGGUCCUGCAUCUCAUGGAAACCUUGGACAAAAGAGUGUCUGAACUUAAACCUAAAAGGCUGUUUCUGAGUAGGACAACCUUGCAGGUCAUGGAAUUCAAACUUAUGUAACCCAGGAGAGACGACCAAAGGUUCAUUUUGACCUAGAAAUAGUCAUUGAUUAAAUUGGAAGAAGGCAAAUUUUGAUGUAGGAAACUUCGUCAAUCCUCAAGACAGAUAAAAAAAAAUAGCCAAAGAAUCAUAUCAGGAUGUAAUCCUCAAAAUUACUAACAUAAAGCUACAAAUGUCUAGUACUACAAACAGUGAUUUGCAAUACUUUUGUGUGCAGGUUGACCUUGUCACCUUAGAAGUCUGAUAUUUGAUCUACAUAAUGGUUUAUUCUUCCUUAAGAAAAACAACAGGAACAUACCCACUUAAUGGAUCAUAUCUUGAUCCAUAAAUCUGACUCCAUAUGAUGAGAUCACAAGUAGACUAUGGGUAAGAUUCUGCUAAUGCAAGUUUAUUUUGAUAACUUGCAAAGGAGGAUUAGAUCUCAAAGAUAUUUUGGGGUGAGUUCCCCCCCCAACCAAAAAAAAAAAAAAAAAAAAACAACAAAUACACACCAAGAGGGAGGAGGGGGGGGGGGAGUGAGAGAGAGAGAGAGUUGAGCCAAAAUAGUUCAGCAAGCAGUUGGCCCAAAUUCUUCUGAUGCAAAAUUAAAGAAAAAUCCACAUGGCUGAUCGUGGUCAUGUCUAUAUUGCCUGCAAUCCAAAAAUCAUAUGCUUUAGAAGUCUCUUGCUAUGCAUCAAAUAGAUGUAAAACAGAAAAUUUUAAUGGUAGGAUACCAUGUUUUGAUUUGAUCUAUAGCUUACAGCAUCCAAAUUAGUUAAAUUUUCGUUUGUAUAUGAUUUAACAUGUCUUGAUCAAUAUCAACAGUUCUUGGAAUCUUAAAAUACAUGGCCUGCAAUGUACUUAGUUAUUAUAUUGUUACAUUCGUUUUGUCUUCAAUUGAUGCAUAGGUAAGAGACAUCCAAAGCACACAAUAUUCUGUUUCUUGGUAAUAUGGACAUCAUAAAUUAUGAUCAACAAUGUGGAAUUUCACUUUUAAAGGGCUAUUGUUGAUUUUGCACUGGAAAUAAUAGGUGGCCAAGCACUUUCAGAAAUACUUUAGCUUUACUCUAUGUAUUAUGCAUGUAGAAUGUACAUAUGCUUUCAAGGCAUACCUGGUGCUACUUCUAGUAUAAGCAAUUAAAUAGCUUUUGGCUUAUGCUUAAUUGAAGCAUCCGAGGGAGGCAAAAUGGAUUAUCCAAACUAAAAUUAAUCCAUCUCAUCAUGGACCAAAUCCAGACCAUCAAAAUUUAAUCUUGCAGAUUGUAUCUGAUUCCUUAACCUAGAGCAAAAUUACAACUAAAAUUGAUUUAUAUCUAUCAGAAUUAGAAAUCUAUCAAAAUUGGAAAUCUAUAAUAUCAAAUCCUAUUAUAACCAAAUUGGCCUAAAAAGUGCUUUUGCAUUGUGUGUUAAACAAACAAUAUUAACCAGCAAAGUGUUUGCCAUUAAAUCAUAUCACGAAAUGCUUCAUGAAGAACCCUUUGUAAAGGUAGGAGCCAGACAUGCCCACAUUGGAAUACUGAAAUAACAGUGGAAAUCCCAAACCACAGCUUGAAAUCUUGAAAAAGCAUUACAGUGAAGCAAAGUACCUGAAAGUUGAACUUUCAUUAUAGAAUAAUUUAGUAUGAUGCCAAAGCCCAUCAGCUCGAUCAAAAAGCAAGUAAUAGUGUACAGUCAGCAUCUGUCAUGAAACACAGCCCAUGCAUCAAAAUUUGCAACCAAAGCAGUGAAGAUGAAAUACUUUCCGAGUUGCAUCACAAGGUUUGACGUAUAAAAUAAAAAAAAGAACUCACUCAAAGAACUACUGUUGUCAUCUAUGUAUAUUACAUAGAUGCACAUACAGCGCAUUUUAGCAGGCCUGGCAUGUUGAAAACACAACCCAGCACCUCGUCACAGAAACCAAAAUUUUGCCAUCAUCUUAUAUCUUACAAACAGGUAACUAGAGAGAUUACUAUUUGAAGGUUACCAGAUGCUCACAUCUGCUAUUUCCUUUAACCUCUGUGUUGGAUCAAAAACACUUCGAACAUAUUCUGCCAAGUCCACAUUGGUGUUCUCAUAUUUCCUAAUAAAUGGAUGCGAUAGAAGCUGCAGAAAUAAAGCAUCAACAGAUUUAAGUACCAGAAUGUGAAGAAGGAAAACAAAACAGAAGUUAGAAAUACAGUAACCUGGACACAUAAUUUUCUUGCAAUGUAGUUGAACAUCUAAAAUACUCACAAUCAUAAGAGUCACAAACUCACAAUACUUCAGCCCAAUUCAUGUCAGCUCACCUCCAUUGAUUUAACUCCUCAAUACACAUCACGCAUGACAGCAUGCCUCACACUAAGAGAUGAGCUUUCGUGGUAAACUGACAAUCGCUCAUCUUGCAGAAUUGCAGGUCCAAUCUUCAAGUAGGGUUCCAGGAUUGGUUAAAAUUCAGGAGUCCAACUAGAAUUUUAGGCCAAAAUAAAAUUGAACUUGGAUCUAAUAACAGAUUACAUUAUCUCAAGUUUGGGAAAUAGUAUAUCUCAAGUCAUUGAACACUAAUUAAUACUCAGACUUAAAGGGAUUAGUUUCCUUUCUUACCUUGCACCUUUGAUUUCUGACAAUAUCAUUCUGCGGCUUCUGCCAUUGGGGCCUGACUAAUAUAUUGGCAAAGACCAAAACACUCAUUCCUUUCUUUCAUCAAAAGCCAAUAAAAAUGCACACACAUCUGCUGCAUGAUUUAGCCUAACAUUCUCAAUAAGAGCGGUGACUGGAUAACUGGGUUAACUAGCAAGACAUACCAAAGCAAGUUUGGAUUUUGGGCAGGUGGUGUAGAGGGAUUAAACUUCAAAUGAUUCAAAGCACUCUGCUAGGCCGACGAGAGGUCGGCCUCUCUUGGGCUGGAAGGCCUCCAGUCUGCUUGUGGGCUUCAAGCCCGCUACCGACAUCGCCUCCUGCAUUGCCACAUCCACUCGCUCAGGCCCACUGGCCUGGUCUACAGUGACCAUCAUUUGGGCUCGGCCCGCUCCUGUUGGCGGAUGGUAGCUGCUAUCCGACCACCAGCCACGGGCCACCGAUAAGGGCAGCAUUCCGAUCGUCUUCUUGCCGGAAGCAGAAAAUGCAAUGCUCUUUAGCCAACGAAAAUGUCUCAACGUUGUAGUCUAGCUUUCCUCGGGUCUUGAGAUCUCGAGCCACCCAUUCCGCCCCAAGCUUCGCACGAUUAUCGCCGUCGACUCUCAGGCCUAUCUCAAGGCUUCGACGCGAUCCUCCGACAGUUCCAUCACUCUGGUGAAACACCUUUGAAGCGUCUUGAGUUCCUCAUCGGUGAUCCAGUGACUCGUCCAAGCAGGUUACUAGGGACACCCUUGAACCACGUUGGACCAAGUCUGACUCAUUUCAUCCUAUCCCCAGUUCAUCCGAUCCUCACCGCCGGGAGCCUCUUUUAUCGUCUUCAACUUUUGGCCACUCAUGAAUCCUAGCCAACACUCGUUUGAUGAAAUAACCCAGACACAGCACAAUCCUCAAAGCACUCGCGACUCAGAGCGCGAUUCCUUUUGCAAAACUAUUAGGAUUCGUCCUUUUGACAAUUUACACUAUGAUCCAAUUCUUCACAAUAAUGACCAUGAACAAAUUAUUCUUAUCAUUGUUUCCAUUGGUGGUUCUCCUUAUAGUUCUAAAAACAAUAAGCUUGUUUCACUGAAGUAUUUUCUACAAUAUAAUGCAAAAUACAUGCUAUACAAUUGAAUAAAGAUAUCAUAUUUUUCACACAAGCAAGGAAUUGGUGAAUUAUGUCUAUAUAUAACUGAGAAUUCACAACGGACACAAGUCCAAAUCAGUUACUAGUCCAUAGCAACUUUAGAAUAGAGACCGAAGCAUUCAAACAUGAAACUGUAGCCUAUCCUACUAAUUCCCUGAUACUACUACACGUACUAAUCAAAGUGUGAUACCCAUCCUAUUAUAACAUCACUUAAUAGGACAUUACAUCACCUAUCAAUCUGCACAAUGAUACCCAUCCUAUUAUAACAUCGCUUAAAAAGGACAUGCAUCACCCAUCAAUCUGCACAGAUGGAAUCACUUCAAUGAAGAAAUGCAAUUUCAGAAAUUAAAACAAGGGCACAAAGCAUAUACUUUUCUCACCUGCUCAGCUGUUGGCCUUGCAUCAGCAUCUUUCUGCAGGCAAGCCUCAACAAAUGAGCAGAACUCUGGUGAGUAUGAGUCCUCCGGAGGUGUAGGUGAUAGGUCAUACAAGAUCUGCCAUGACACGCAGGUAGGCAUGGAAAUGAUCAACAGAGUAAAAUGGAAAAUAAAUAUUAUUGAUAUUCAAAAAGCAUGAGAUCAUCUAUCCACUCAAUAAUGUUAACACUCAAGGUGCAACUGUUGUUGUUCAUGAAACCAUCUUCAUUGUAAUUUAACAAUUAAAUUAGGAAACCAUUAAACGUAGUGUCAUUUGUGAGCAAUUCUAUGUUCUCUCUCUAAAGCUGCUUAGAGAGAGAGAGAGAUACUAGGGUUCUGUACCUAACUGAAAGGGAAUAUAUUUUAUAAAUCCUCUAGAUAUAUUUUGACAUCCUACAACCAUGUACUGAUGUGUAGUCUUAAGUGUUUAUACACUACAUAAGAUUAUCACCUGCACUCAUACAUGUUCAAGAUGCAAGUUCAAAUAUGCAUUCACACUCAUACAUACAUCAAGUUAUUAUACAUGUACAACGCAUAUUAUUUCGGGCAAGCAUUUCUAUAAAGCAUGUAUACUUACCUGUUAAAAUUCCGUUCAACAUUUUGGGAUAUGCCACUUACCGGAUGGUAUUUAUGGCAUUCAGUGGCAUGAUGAUCCUGGUCAUUACUAAAGAGGAAGAAUAUCAUACAAGGGCUGAUAAAUCUUCAUGCUGUUGCCAUAGAAAUAGGACAAAUAGAAAAAUGCUAUGAUACCUGUAGAAAGCAUUCACACUUUACAUGAAGAAUAAAGUGAAAUCGCAACAAAGGGAAAAAUAUCUCGGAUGGUUGGACAAAGAAAUGAAGGGGAAAAAAUGCAUGCAACCAAAACUUGAAUUGGCCAAGAACGACGAGUUUCUCGACUCAUAUCGAGAAUGCUACGAAGUUAUGGCAUAAGAGGACAUCGAGAUGGAAAGAAUUAGUGAUAGGUGCAGGUGUGGAUUAUUUAAUGGCAUAAAGUUUUAAAAAAAGAAAUCUACUUAAUGAAGCCAAAUGUGACAUUUCAACUAAUGAUCUCUACUCGUUGAAGCAGCACUAUUUAGGCAUCAUCCUAAUUGUAGUAACAUAUUAGACAAGUAGCAACAACAGUCAUUAUGUAUGUGUUGUAUUCAUACAUAAGCCAUUGUAUAAUGGUCAUAAGAGCUAUUAUUUGAACUUUUCACUGUUGACCUAGUUCAAAUAAAUAUUCUUAGCCUAAGUCUGUAUGCUGAUUUCAAAAAUAUUGUAUAAUCUAAAAAAUGACCUACUCAAAACUCGAUGUUAUCGUCUUUCAUCCCAUUAUAACAGCCAAGAUAAAUUAUUUUAGUUAAAAUAUCUUUUCAGAUGGAAAUAGGUUUGAAGCUGGACUAUGAAAAUGCGGCAAUGCCUAGCUAAAAAGUAACUUGAUGGGCUUAUAACCUUGUUCCACCCUGAAAAAUUAUAUAUAUGCUAUAACAAAAAAAGAAAAUGUGAUUACUCAAAUGAAAGCAAAGGUGGUGGUAGAAAUGGAGAAUUUUAUAAUAAAAAAUAAAAAUUUGCACUAAAGCAUGAUGGGAACAAGAUAUGUCCAGUGCUUGACAUAAUGAGCACAUAUCCCAUUGUAUUCUAGAUGUUCUGCUAGCUUGGAACCAACUGCUGUUCUUCUUAUUUACAGUUAUUUCUUGUAUGCAUUCUGUCCAUCAUGAGGCUUGGGCUCUCAACAAGCACACACAUGAGAUCAUUUUCCGAUCCUGCCAGGAAGGUCUGUAACAUUGAUCUACAAAAUUAGGAUUCAUUCAGAAAGGACUAUAGAGCACUGGCAAAGCUUGUUUAGAGGAGCACCAGUUUAUUUUAGAGCUUAAAACAAGGAAAUUAACCAUUGGCCUUUGCUCACUGUCUAAACUGUCUCACAGUUGGCUGCAUUAUUUAAUGAACAUCAAAAUGUAUUAGCAGUUUUCUAAGAAAGUCUAAUUGCAUGCUAUCCUUCUGCAAUUCUCAAGAUUCAAGAUAUUUUCUGAGCUCCUACAAGGCUCCUCAAGCCUGGUGCAUAUGUUUCUAGCACAUUCUCCUUCAAGGACAAGUUUAUUGGGACAUGAUCCUCGCUGGUGAUGACAUCAUGAUUGCCAUCUAAAAUUGUACCUCCAACAUUAGUUCGACCUCCAACAUUAGUUUGAAAGGAAAGACCUUAACUCCCUCCACAACUUAAAACUUGGGCUUGCCUUCCUCACAAGGUAUUUGUUAUUGCAGUAUAAACACACUUUCAUUUUAAUUAUUCAUGCUUGCUUAGUUGACAGUGACACUGACAUCGUGGAUGAAUUAAUGGAGCUUCAUUUGAAGCUUUGUCCGACAAAUUGCGAACCACAACUAAAUCCUAGUUGGUAUCACUAGCUCAUAGAUGAUCUAAUCUAUAUGGCUAGCUCCACGCAAACAAUUGCACCCGCCACACUAUACGUGGGCCAGUUUAUUAUUUCUCUGCAUUUUCUUCAUUCAAUAACCAUAUUGCACAUUCUUUAAUAUAUUACAGGGGCUUUUAGUCUUUUGCUCUUCUAUUUUGAUUGUAUCCAAAGCAUUGAAUAUCAUUCAUGCUAAUUGAGUUGAUGAUUGUACUAAAGAGGAUCAAGUGAUGAUAACCAAAAGGACAAUCCAAGGGGAUGUCCACGACCCAAUAUCAUACUGUUCUAGGGGUUACUAAGUAUAGGUCUUGUUUAAAUGGAAGGUUCAAUGUACAUCAGAAGUGUUGGUUCUUGAUUUUAAAUUGAUGAUGUUCUAAGUCAUGCUUAGAUAUAAGAUCCACAUAGGGUUCAUAUUAUUGAUUCUUGAUUUUAUUAUAGUUCAGGUUUUAAGUAGUAAUGAACCUUGAGUCACAAGUUGUACCAUCUCUAAAUUAUGGGGGCCUACAACUUAAAUAAGAGGGCUUCAUAUAUGCUUCGUCAUUUCAGUAAGGGCCCUAACUCAUAAAUAGAGGAUGAAGUGAUGGCAAGCUUGCAUAAAAGCAGACCCGUAAGAGGGCAAACAGGAUUUAAAUGUUUUCUCAGGCAAAGGAGCUGAAUAACAAAACUACGCGAAAUCAGUUACAACCUGUCAAGUGGAGGCUGGAAAAAUCAAAAUAGACAACCAAUAAACACUCCAAUAGAGAGGAAAAGAGGAACUACUACUAGGGGAAGCAGUUAACUGGAAUAAUAUGAACAUAUGAAAUCAUGGCGGUCUGACUGCUAACAAUUCAUGAUUUCUUCAAGCUAAGUGCCACAAAUUGACCAAGAUGCUUAAUUGUUAAGUUGAAAUCCAACAUCCAUCAAUGAAUCACUAAAGCGAACUCCUCACUACAUCAGGUACAGAAGUCUUGUUAUGUGCUGAGUUUUCGUAACAGAUUCUCAAAUUGUUUGAUUCUAGACAUGGGUCAUAUAAUACUACAAUUAAACCAUAGAGAUGAACAGCAAAUGACGCAGUCUUAGAUAAUUGAUUGCCUGCUUCUACUAAAAGUACACAAAGAUCUUUGCUUAUAUGUUAUUUGGAGAACAAGUUGAAAAGAUGCAAUAUUUUUUGGACUCCACCAAAUAGGUAUAUGGCAGAUAGAUGCAACGCAGAAUGGCAACCAAAAAGAUGACUACCAAUCAUACGACUUAAAAAAAAAAAGAACUAGUAGUACCUAUCAUGUUCUCAAACUUAAGCUUUUUCAAAAAACUAUAAGAUUUUCCUUGGAUUCAAAAUCCACCAAUAUAACUAUUCAUAAUAGAUUGUUGAUGACACCUAUUUGACUAUUCAAAAAGUGGUGACAGUUGUAUUGCUUUAAUAUAAGAAACUAUUACUUCAAAUGAAUCAGAAUAGCAAAUGUAGUUCAGAAUGAAGGCAUGAUUGAGAAAAAUAAAAACGAAGAAAAUAAAAAACAAUAAGAAAUUUUACCAAACACUAUUUUACCUGCAACAUAAGAUUGGCAGGUCCUUCGUUUGCUGUAUAUGGAAAUUUUCCUGUGCCGCAUUCAAAUAUGGCUAAUCCAAGGCUCCAAAUGUCAGCUGGGUAUGAGUAGUUCUCAUUUCGAAUUCUCUCAGGUGACAUGUAAGUAACAGUACCAACGAAGGUAGCACACUGUCAGAAAAUAUGGAGAGAUGUUACAAAUAUAUACCCUUAAGUUCCACGUCGAAUAGAAGUCAGUUGCAAAAAAGCAACCCUUUAAGAAUCAAAGGCUUGGAAAGUGAUCAUAUUAGAAGAAAUAAACUCAGUGAUUACUAGUAUUGUACGAGAGAUAACAGACCAUCGCCAUUGAAUUCUCUAAGCCUGCACUUAUUCCAAAAUCAGUAAUUUUCGGCUCCCCCUUGAGAUUUAUGAGCAAAUUUGCAGGCUUUAUAUCUCUGUGCACUAGAUGUCUUGUCCCAUGCAAGUAGCUCAACCCCUUGAAAGUUAAAACAUCUAACUGAUCAUACAGAUAAAUAAAUAGGGCACAACAUAAACUAAUAAUAAGCAAUUAUGGAAACAGCAAAUACAAAAAAGAAAUAAUCUUACUCGCAGCAAUUUUUGAACCAUAUGUGAAAGAACUGGCUCUGGUAUACAUUUCUUCACCCUCAAAACAUCUGCAAGUGAACCCCCAUCCAUGUAUUCCAGGGCAAUACUAAUUUGUCCUGAGUCAGGGGAAUAAAAUGCUCCAUGGAAUUCAACUAAACCCGGAUAGCAAGAUGCCUCACAUAGUGUCCUUAUCUCAUUAAGAAGUUGUUGCCUUUUCUCCUUUAAGGGGUAAGAAAAUAUGCAUAACUAACCAAUAUGUUGCAUUCAUCAUAACUUUGAACUUCUCUAAGUACUAAAUAUGGGUGACUAAAUGUAACAUCCAGCUUUAGAUGUCUACACAUGCAACAAAAUCUCUAAAAGAAUGAACAGAUUUUUUAAAUUGAAUGUGCAUGAUUAAUUGCAUGUAUGCUUAUACCGAACGAUACUGAAAAAGAAAAGACCAAAAAUAACAGUAUGGUGUCCGCUAUGAUCACAAGCAAGCNNNNNNNNNNNNNNNNNNNNNNNNNNNNNNNNNNNNNNNNNNNNNNNNNNNNNNNNNNNNGCGGCGGAGUAAGAAAGAGAGAGAGAGAUGAUAUGCAAACAAUUCACCUUGCAUUGAGAAGAUUCAAGAGCCAAUAAAUGACACAGUUGAUGCAGAUGAAAAGGUUCUAGAGGCAAUGUUGGUUCCUUAUUUUUCAAGUAGGGUUUGCACAUGGAGACACACUAUAUUAAAGCUUAGCAUUAUCAAGCAGAUGAGCAAGGAAUUUUGAUGCAUUAGCCCCCCUUCUUGACACAAUUCCAAAACAGUCCCAUUUUCUUAUGGAAAGGCAUCCAUUCUCUGAUUUUUUUUGUGAAAGGAAAAAAAGCCUCUGUCAAUGAAAUAAACAUUGAAUUUUGUUGAUCUCUUCCAUUUAAAUGGUUAUUUUAACCUAAAACCCUUCCAAUCUAAAAUGGACCCUUCUAACUUUUAAUGGUAGUACUUUCAUUUUCACUUAAACCGUGUCCCUGCUAUAGUAUACAAUUUAGUUCAUGAGAACUGUGAAUCAGCAACCAUAUGAUGUACGUCAUGGGAGGCUUCUGGAUCUAAUCCACAGCUUGUUAUAUGAUCAUGGCUUAACUACCAGAUCAUUUACAUUAAAAUUAGUUAUAGUUAUUUAAAAGAAUGAUUGCAAGGCAGCUAAUUUUUAGUUAGAUGAGAGGUGUUGAUUUCUCUUGUUGACCAAAAGUUAGAGGCCCAAUGUCUCUCUUUUCUUAAUAAAAAGGGGGACUGUUUGGGGAUCGGGUUGAAAAACGAGGAUUACUGUGCAGCAAAAGGAAGUUCUCAUGAGCAAAAAGUUAAUCUGCUACAUUUUAUGGCAAUAACUAAAAUUUGAUCAAAGGUAUCUUAAAAGAACUUCUAGGAGUGAAGAUGAACUUCUGCAGACAUAUCAGGGAUUUGACUGCUCCUCACUACAGGUUUCAACUUUGGGUAGUUCAAGAUAUUUGGCUUGUAUAUGACAUGUAUAAGACUGAAGUCCUGAUGGAGGUAGUUGGUCUUUAAUGAUUGUUUAGGAAAUAAAGAGCUACAUGUGAGACCAACUUAAGUGAUUCAAUAUUAGAAACCAUGGAUGCAGUUUUAAGCUGGCGCAAAUAUGGAAAGAAACAGGAGCAAAAUUUUAAACCUUCUCAAAUACGUUUAUCUUCUUCAGGGCCAAAAUUCGGUGAAUGGGUACAUAUAUUGCUCUCUGAACUACACUGCUUGCUCCACAACCUAUGGCUCCAAAAAUAUGCAUAUCACGAGAAGCACAUCGAUACAUCUUUUCUCCUUCCACUUCAUCCACUAUUCCUGCAGUACGCUUUUGCAGACCUAGUUCAUUAAUAUUGUACACUCCACAUGAUCUGCUCAACAAGUUGACUGUUCCACCUUCUGAUACCUUCAGAACACCAAAAGUAAUUUGUUUCUUUCUUAUCAAAAGUAAUAAGCUGUGAUUUAGAUGGUAAUAUGUAUGGCACACAAUGAGCACGUUUCUGGAAAAACUGAAGCAUACUGACUUAUAUUUAAAAGAGAUAUCUAUUAGUGUCAACGAGCACAUGAUAACAUGGAUAUAUUACACAUCUUAGUAAAUGUAGAUAGAAUAAUGUUAGAAGCUUGUAUUGCCAAAAAAAAUUUUAAAAAAAAAGUUGAGCAAAAUUCCCUAUCCAUGUUUAGCAUAAAGAAUAACAAAAGAACUUAGUUUUUUCGGAAGGAAAAUCCACCAAAUGAGGCUACCUUUGUAAGAGGAAAUGGUGCGCCAAUCAGUUUUGUGUCAUCUAUUUACAAGUGUAUUACCUAGUAGUGCAAAUUCUAUAGUCAAAAAGGAAAAAAGAUAAAUAAAUUAAAAAUCAAAUUAAAAUAAUUGACCUUAAUCUUAAAGCAAGGAAACCUCGUUUUUUCCAUUUUUACUGAAUUGGUCGGAGCGUAGACGAGCGAGCAGAGCCCAGGAAAGUUUGCCUUAUUUCUCUAGCAAGCAUUGUAGAUGAUUAAAAUCUCAUAAGAAAUCCCACACACAUGCAUUGCGCACUUAAAAACUUGCAUGCACACAUGCAUACAUGAGAGACUAUACUUCCUCUCUUUAUGGGACAAAGAUUAAAGUUUCCACUGUAACACUGGGGGAAUAAAUUCUAAGCAAGAAGACAAUGCCCUAUCCAGUAUGUUGGCGACAUAAGCUUGGCAAAGCAUUACUUGGUUUUGUUUCUCGAUGUCAACGUAGAGCAAUUUUCUAGAAAUUUGAUUUUUGUACUGAAAUACUUAACCAUAUAUGAGUCACAAGGAUCCAAUGGCAUCCCACUCAAGGGCCCUUUUUCUGAAUCAAAUAAGGGCUCUAAUCUCUUUUUCAGCUCCUCCAGGCCAGCCAUAAUGACUUAUUAUCACUCCAGUCUCAGCUCAUAAUCAAACGCAGAAUGCCGAUAAUCCCUAGGAGAAGAACACGGGUAAGUAUACACUGCAACUUAAUCAAAAUUUCACAUUGUCAGAGUUAGAGCGAUAAUAAGAAAGUGGCCAUAACCAUUACUAGACACAAUAAUUAAAAUGGAAAUUUCAGUAGGAUUGAUUAUUGUUCUACAAUCAAAUCACAAAUCAAACAAAAUCACCGUCACCACAAAAUAUUGGUAAGUUUUCACAAAUCAAUAUUCAUUAACCAUCAUCAAAAUUCGAGAUUCUGCGUAAGCGGGUCAAAACCAAUGAUCAGAAAAGCUGUAGAAAUUGGAGGGAACUAAUUAAAUGGGCUUGAGAUUUUAAAGCACUAAUAAGGAAAAGCAAAAAAGUAUGUACACUAAUCUGAAACAAAAUUGUUAUUGCUUCAAAUUCUCUGCUCGUUUUGUCCCACUAAAAUGCAAUGGACUCGCUACUCUCCACUUUAGCGACUAUUCACAUAGAGGGGAUUUGAGAACUGUCGAAUUUCCUAAAAGCCUUUUUUCUUGAAGCACAUCUAGUACGGAAAAAUAGUCAAUAAUUUGCACUGGCCAAGAUUAGACAAAAAACAAACAAGAAAUAAGGAAAUCCACCAUAACCAUUCUUCCUUUCUAAUAUCUCAAAUUCCUAGAAAGGCUAGAAUGCUUCUAUUCUUUUCUUCUUUUUUUUAACUACUCGGAAGUUUUCAUCGCAAUGUCCAAAUUCUUAAAAACAAAAGAAAAAAGAAAAACAGAAACCCAUAAAUCACUGAACUCAUUAUUUUAUGUUCUCAGUACAUAACAAACGGAAACGAGGGACGGAAUCAAGGAUACAAUCGGCAACCAAUUUCCCAUCAAAACAGAUAAUUUUAGUACGAGAUCACACCUAUGAGCGAAAAAGAAUUCAAGAAUUGAAAAAAAGAGAAAAAAUCGAUAGAAAGCAAACUUUUAGGGGAAGAAGGACGCCGUUCUAAAUAGUGCUUACCGAUAGAAAGCGGAGAAAGGAAGUCCAAAGAUUAACAAUGGAUUUGAUCGAAUUGAGAUCAUGCUCCGAUUCCGCUGGCAGCCUCCGCGCUCGUAUUUUUAACCCCUUCUCUUAUUUCUUUUUUUAAUAAAGAAAUCUUUACCUCGUUUCAUGUUUUAAAUCACCGGAUAUUGAAGCGCUUGGCCACGUGUCGGUCGCCCCUCCCGAAAUGGACCGCCGAGCGCCUGCCACGAUUACCGCCAAUGCGUGGUAUCGCAUCUCCCGUUCGCGUGCGCGCGAAGAUCCGCGCUACCUGCGGCUCCGGCAUCAAGAGUCAUGCCCUCAGGCGAGAGAGCGCACGCAGAAAUAGGCGUGCUCGGACUUCUCCGGAGGAGUCGCCGCGGCCACACUGGUUUGACACAUGGAAGCAACACGCGGCUCUUAAAGCUCGAAAGUGGAAAAUUGCCGAGCAUUGCUUUAAACGGAACCCAACCUUUUCUUUUUGUUCCUCUCACUCCUUUCAAAUAGAACAUUAAUUGGGUGGGAAAAGAUCAUGCAUUUUGGUGAUAAUUGGAACCAAAUCCGCUGGCCCAAGUCAAAUUCUUUGGUUUCGGUCUGACUAUAGCUUUAGAGAAUAAGCAAUCCCAGCCAGAUCCUUCAUGUUCAGAGAUAACUGUAAGGUUAUAAUCCUGCCAACGAGCCCGAGAAGCAGAUCUGCAUAACAUGUAUGCAAGUAUCUUACCAAGAAGGAAGGAGAUUACAAAGUGACAAAUAAAUAUUUUCUUAUGAACGGAAGAGUCAUGGAGGUAUUUUGAAAUCAACGUAUACUGUUUGAGAGGAAAGAGCGGGUAUUUUGAAAUCAACGUAUACAAUAUGCAACUGCCAUUUGUGAUCUCUCUAUCUCCAUGCAUUGAGAUGCCACUGUGAUAUAUAUUAACCUUGCUAAUGUUGGGACAUAGAUUUCGAAACGGAAGCUUCAAGGUAGAGUUCCCCAACCAUCCAUCUUCCUUGCUAGUACCAGAUUCGAAGCUGACACAGUUUCCAAAUUGCAUGUAGGUCCUUACCAAUGGCUUGGAUAAGUUUCAGGAGCAAAAUGUGUCCCUACUAAUUGACUGUAUGUUGGAUCUGUCGUGCGAACUUUUUUUUUUGGUUGCAUCCAUAGAUGUACUCGAUGCAUGGAUAAGAAGCCAGGUGCCAGCAUGAAUGAUAGAUGAGAAAUAUGCUUUGGUCGGGCGUUUCUGCAUCUUAUGCCUCGUGGACACCACACUUUCAACCCAAUCCAACCAUUGAAGUACUUGUUUCUAUUAAUCAUCCCUUGCUAGUUUGUGUUACCAGCUGGAACGUGAUCCUGUUAAUUAUGCCUCAAAUAUUAAUUUGGUCUGGAAAGAUCCUCGACCUUUUUAUCUUCUUCUUUUUCUUUUUUUUCAAUCUAUCAGACCCAGACCCCAUAAACAACAUACGAGAUGAAAGGUGGCACGGUGCAUGCGAGCUCGCCAAGUAAUGACACCACCGCGGCGCCACACGUGUCAUCCCUACAGACACGUACAUGCGCCGUCCCUCUCUACCUCCAAGUUCCUUUAUAAACUCCACCACCACGACCAUCACCUCCUCGCCUCCUCCGGUUGGCGGUAACUUAAUCUCCUAGAGUUGCAGUCAAUUGAUGGCGGAGCGGCACCACCAGGCGCCGCCACCAGCGGCGAUGGAGGAGCUCACCAAGGGCCUGCUCCGUGAGAAGGGUCCUUCGGCCUCGCAGGUCCUGGCGGUGGUCACUCUUCUCCCCAUCGGCGGCAUCCUCCUUGCCCUCUCUGGCAUCAUCCUCGCCGGCACCGUCAUCGGGCUCGCCGCCGUGACGCCGCUGUUCGUGAUCUUCAGCCCGGUGCUGGUACCAGUGGCGUUGGCGAUUGGACUGGCGGUGAUGGGUUUCCUCGCGUCGGGGGCGUUCGGGCUGACGGCGCUGAUGUCACUCUCGUGGGUGGUGAGCUCCGUCAAGGGUCGUCGAGGCCCGAAGCGCAGGCCUCCCCGGGUUCCAGCUGCCCGUUAAGUCGACUUGAAUUUUAGUCUUCCAAAUAGACCUCGUCUUACUUUGUACAAGUUGAAAACUUCCAGCCUCGUAUUAUAUAUGUCGGAGUUUUUGCUACAUGCACCUCAAACAUGCCUGUCCAUGCGAUUAAGUGGAUUCUGUGUAUGCUGUUUCCACCCUUUCGCUUGGCAGGAGGGUGGAAUAUUAAUUUCAGAAGAAGAAAAGAAGGAAAUUGCAGGAAAAAGUUUUUUUUCUUUUUUUUUUGUGGGGGGGCGUGCGGGGGCAAAAUAUAUAUAUAUAUAUAUAUAUUGUCACGCUUGGAGGUGGUUUGAGAUGAUCAUCUGAUCAGUACCUUAGUCAUAGAUCCCAAACCGAUAUUUUGUUUCCUUGAGCCCAGCACAUAAGAGUGGUUCUUUGCAAGAUUCAAGGAAACUGCCGUCAUACACUUUUCACCUUGCCGAAUGUAAAUUACUUGCGUCUUGAUGUAAGGUUUUUGAGUUGCAUACGGAUACGAUUAGAAUACUGCCUAUCACUCUAUCAGUCAGGUGCUUUGUUGCACGUAUCUCCUUUCUGAUACAAAUAUAAUUCAGUUGGUUUAACUUUUUCUAAAAACAAACAAUGGAAAGGUAUACAAUAAUUAUAAGUGAAAAAUGCGUUUUCCAAACGAGACAGUUCUGAGAAAUGGCCGGUAAGUUGAAAGAUGGUCGCAGACCAAACUCAAAACUCAAGCCAAACUCUCAAGCCUACCGUGUCGUGCUGAAGUGCUAGGAGUGUGUGUCUAUAUAUAUAUACACACACACAUAUAUAUACACAUAUAUAUAUAUAUAUAUAUGUAUAUGUGUGCAUAAAUAUGUAUAUAUAUAUAUAUAUAUAUAUAUAUAUAUAUANNNNNNNNNNNNNNNNNNNNNNNNNNNNNNNNNNNNNNNNNNNNNNNNNNNNNNNNNNNNNNNNNNNNNNNNNNNNNNNNNNNNNNNNNNNNNNNNNNNNNNNNNNNNNNNNNNNNNNNNNNNNNNNNNNNNNNNNNNNNNNNNNNNNNNNNNNNNNNNNNNNNNNNNNNNNNNNNNNNNNNNNNNNNNNNNNNNNNNNNNNNNNNNNNNNNNNNNNNNNNNNNNNNNNNNNNNNNNNNNNNNNNNNNNNNNNNNNNNNNNNNNNNNNNNNNNNNNNNNNNNNNNNNNNNNNNNNNNNNNNNNNNNNNNNNNNNNNNNNNNNNNNNNNNNNNNNNNNNNNNNNNNNNNUAAUAUAUAUAUAUAUAUAUAUAUAUAUAUAUAUAUAUAUUGCUACACCAAAUAGCUCAUAUAAAUCUAAUAUAAAUAUAUUUAAAAAAAUUAAAAUAUAACAAAGUUAUGGAGCGCCUUAGAUGGCUCUCUCUCAUCAGUCCAACCCCCGACUCGCGAAAAAUUUUAUCGGAUGUCUAGUCAAACAGAGUCGAACAUGUUAUUGGCACCCCACUGAGAAUCCUUCAGCAGUGAUUUGGCGCGUCCGUCAUCACCACCGUUCUCAUACAGAUAGCGCCAACUCAACGUUUCGGCUCGCAUGUCCACCUUCCUAGUGCUCGUAGUUGCACAACUAAGAGGAAGCUACCUCUGUUAAUUAUACAUAUGCAGCGCGCUUGCAUGGAAGUCGACCGUUACCCUUCUUAUUAACAGGCUUAGGAAGUUGCCUGGUUAAGCUGUUCUAUGCUAAAAAUGCAGCCAUUCAGCUCAAAAUCAGAUCAUAAGAACAACUGCAUUCAAUUUAAAAGCGCAAGCAGAUUUACAAGGACAAACAGGAGCAGGGAAAGAACUAUUUCACACUGAAGAUGUGCUGGAUUUACAACAGCUCUAGGUUUGCAAGCCUGACCUGCUUAUGGAAUGGCAAGUAGUCUUUCAAAGAAAUGCAUGUCCGACACAUCACACGUGCCAAGAAAAUGCGCAUGCUAGCUUCAGCUUCAUUGAUGCCGUCUUGCCUGGGAAAGCCAUUUCCAUUAGCUAACUGUGCUGCCCAUGUGCAGAUUCGCUCUGUGGAUGACCAUAGCUUAUCAACCAAAGGCCCUGAAAUGGCACCCCAGCUGCUGUCUGACAGAAGCGAUGGCAGGGUAACUGGCAGGUCACUUAAGACGCUGGUUGGAUUGAUGAUCAGAAGUGGCAUGUACAUACAACAGCUACCUGCUAGCAAACCUAUAAACUGCAGUGCCUGAAAAUUUUUGAUAAAAAAACGGGGCACAUAUCAUCUUUCAAAGCCAACUUUUAUACCUAAUAACCUAAUAAAUGAUUGAUCCCAACCCAUGAUGAAGUGUAGAUGCAAAAAUGCAUAUCUCAAUGUUAUUUGUAUUUUUACCUUCCAUUUAUACUUAUCCCUUGGUUCCAUCGGUUAGGGUCAGGUUUGUAAAUCAUAAUUUUCACCAUUAAACUAGAUCUGGAUAUGAUAGAAAUAGAGUUUGAUAACUUGUUUGCAGGUGUGCUCUUGCAAUUCUAAUCAGGAUUAGUUAAACAAAUGAAGUCUCAGAAAAAAAGGAAAAAAACAGACAAUUUAACCUGAAGGGUAAUGAGAAGAAAAAAGAUAUAAAAUGACAUUGGGAGAUGAUAUGUUGUGAGAGAUUUAAAGACAAUCUAAAAGAAGUCAGUGAUACAGAUAUCCCUAAAAUAUUCCUGUGCAGGGCAAGAUUCAAUUGCAGAAUAUGGAUUUGAUUGUUCAAUUCGCAUAUCGCCCCCUUUUUUUGUUAAUGAAAGAAUAAAGUACUUGUGCUUUCAUAAAGAACUUUAGGGAUUCACAUAAAGAUUUAGAAUGUGUAUUAUUUUAUGUAUGCUAAUUAGCGAUGGUGUCAUGUACGUGCAAAAAGGCAUUUUCAAAAAAAACAUGAGACCUCCGAGGAGCAUGGCUAUAUGUCAGUGUGUGCAAAUGUAAAGAACUAGAUGAAAUCACUCAAAGCUAGGUUAAGCUGUCUACAGAUGCUUAAAAAAGAAAUAUUAUCUGAAACUUCUCUAAGCAACUACAUCAAAAGAAUUCAAAAUAUAAAAAAGAAUCGUGCUAUCUAAGUUAUAAUGUUAAAUAUGAAAUGUGCUCACCGUUGCAGGGUAUUCUGUUAUGCAGCAUAUCUCUAAUGCAUCAAAAAGCCAUCGUCUUUUGAUACCAACUUCUGCACUGGAUAUAGCUGCAACAACUUCCACAAUAACACUCCACCAGAUACCUGUUAUUUAAAAUAUUCUUAAAAUGCCAAAUAGUAUGCAACAUAAACUGCUUGUCCCGAAUAUGCAGGAUAAAGACUGUCCCCACCCCCCCAAAAAGAAAAAACAAUGCAUACAAAAAAAGGGAGCAUCAAAAUAGCCAUUAUCAUAUUUACCAUGAGUGUUCCUUGCCUCGUAUUUCGUUAAGGGCAAAGGUAGCAAUCGCAUCCAUUGAAAGCGAAAAAGACAGAUAGAAGUAGAAAAUAAAAAUAUUAAGAUCUAUCCUUUGAACUAUAAUUUAUAAAUAAACUCCUCAGAUAAUAGACUUGUUGAUUUUGAAAGGCAAAAAUUUAAAGAAUCUUUCUACGUUAUGUUCAUUGCUGAAACUCUUAUGAACUAAUGUUGUUUGAUGCAGAGGUCGUGAUCAAUUAAGUUGCUCAUAUAUAUUAUAGAGCCGCUGGCCAUUCUAGACAUCACUCCAUGUAAUCGGCCAUCAUACAAGAUUAAAAACCAUUGUAACUGCAUAUAUUGUAGAAACUUAUGAAGGGCAUUCAGUUCUUUUGACCCCACAAGUGUUUAUGGAAUAGCAUGGCCUAAUAUCUUACAUCAUAUGAUCCUAUCACUUCCUCUCUUCGAGAGAAUGGAUUGAGACAGAUUAAAAGUACAUUACACAGAUAUGGGCGAGGUCCAAACAAUCUGGGGUCUUAGGAGGUGUAAAUUGGGGACAGACCUAACCUUCGACAUUUUUAUUACACAAAAUGGCUGCCUCAAGAUGCGAACCUGUGCCAUCGUGCUUGUUAGCCCAAGCCUUUUACCAUUGCACUAUGAAAUGACCCCAAUCAAGUAAUAACCUGAGACAAAUUUCCUUAUUGGUUUUAAAGAUUAUAUUACCAGUCAAUUCUCUUCAUAUAGCACUUUACACUUAACCCUAAACCAUUAUUUUCCUAAAAGUUAAAUGCCCUACAACUUUCACUUCUAAACUCUCCUAUUUGAUGGUGAUUUCCCAAAAUGUCUUUAUUUCGUUUUAUCUUUUUAAAUUUAAAGUCUAUUUUUUAUUGCCCACGUGAAUUUAAAUCAGGAAAUAAUGAGAUCCAUUAUCCACUAUUGUGUUUCCAAUUGAAUCUUAUGUCAUUUGUCCAAUACCCAAGAAAUUUGAAAUUGUUGGUGUAUGGCUCAAAGCAAAUCUACGUAAAUCACUUUCAGAAAACUCCAAGAUAAAGUCCAACAACAUGGGAGUUGAUCUGGGAAGGUAUGUGUCAUUGAAAGUAAAUUCAAUCAAACUGCUGCAGUACCAGCCUUGCAGUGUGGAUCCACCCAUGCACCUCUCUCAAUAGAACUUGGACAAUCUUUUGUCUUCGCUACGAAGAAUUCAUGAACUCCCCAUCUUUGCCAAACUCUACAUUUGUACCAACAAGCGAGGUUUUAAAAACUGCCAGGACAGGAUGAUACAAGAAAUACCGAAUCAUUCCGGCUAAAAAUAGGCACCAAUACAUAGUGUGUCACUACAAAGGGCAGUCCCUUACCGUGCAUCGGUACCCAAAACUGUCGUUCCAGCAAAACCAUGAUACAUGACCCAGUACCAGUAUUUGAAACCUUGCCCUACAGGUCUCCAAGCAAGAAAAUGUUGGCAUGUUUGCACUUACAGUCACGAUCUCUCCAUCCAUAACCUCCACUUAAGGAGUUAGAAAACUUCCAAGCUCACCUUCUGAUUUUCUUUUAAAUUACUUAUGCACUAUUGGUUUUGCCACUCAUAACCACACCCAAAGUAAGCACCAUUUGGAGCCAGUGUAGUUCAUAUAAGUCCAUAAUAUUUUUGUUAUGGAAUUCCUAAUAGAGUUACCACCUAAUGUUCCAUGAGCUUACCUUACUAUUAUAAUUUAUAUGCACCAUUGCUCCUGUUAUGUACAGUCAAUUUUAAUGUAGUAAAUAUUCAUUUCUUCUGUUUAACAUUGCGGUUUUAGGUUUUUUGACUCUCUUGAUCUUCUGGCUAUCAAAGCCUAUACUUUGAUCCUUAGCUCCAAGUCACUAGUAACUUUUGAGCUCUGAGAUCCUACCAUCCGUUAAAUCCUAGGUCAGAGUGACCUCAUUUGACAUUUUGGACUGAAAAGCAACUAUGCUCCACCUGUUAAUUCCCUGAUCCAAUCCAACCAUCCUUAGUAAGAAAUCAUGAAGGGGUCACCAUGCUAGUUUUACAUAGCUGUCACGUGCUUAACACUGAUGCCAGAGACAUGUCUUGGAAUCUUCCACUCAAGAUAUAUUGUCCUCAACUCACAAGAGCUAUUUUAGUAACAAUAAUAGGGAAUAUUGCAAGUUGCCCAACAAUGAACGACCAGAGAUCCUCGCUUCGUUAUAGUGGGAAUGUUUGUGAUAUUUGCAACUAUUAGACUCGGUGAAUAUAUAUGUAUUCCCAUGUCUUCUACAGUUCUACCUAUGCAACACAGUAUGUGGAUGUGAAAAAUCAGUACGACUAUAAUUGUGUUUGAGUUGCAGAAGUUUUUUGGUAGGAUUUGAGUUGCAGAAGUUGACCUUCAGUUUUUGCAUUCAAUAUGUAUGCUCUUAGCUCCCCCAGUUCAGAAACUGGAGCACAUCCAAUCCUAACUAGCCUGGCUUUGGCUAAAAUUCGUUUUGCCACUUCAUUAGACUGGGUUCCUCCAUGAAACAGGUCUGAAACGGGAACCUGUAAAAAGGAACAUAAGCUAUAAAUACCAAACAGCAUAAAAAAAGUGCAAUAAAUACCAUUCUAGUAAUAACAACAAAAAGGGUUUCAAGGUCUCCAAUAAUUUGAAGAAAAAAAAAACUGAAGUCUUAUUUUCAAAUUUGAAACUUUCCAUUUCUACAGAUAACCUGGCAAAUUCAGUCAUGCGAUGCAGAACAUGUGCAAAUAUAUAGCUUCUACAAACAAGACACAAGGGUUGAGCAGUCUGAGUAUAUGUUUAUAUGACGUUAUAGAUAGACCACAUAAAGGAAUAUUUAGAAACAAAUUACAAGGGAAGUAUACGUACUUGCAGCAUAUCCAUCAGCCAAUCUUGUGGUGCCUUAGCCAAGCAUCUUACAGCUUCUGACCACUCCUCUACAGGAGCAACCUGCCCCCCUUCUGAAAUGACAUCACAAGUCAACAAAGGCAAAAAAAAGAACAAGCACUCCAUGCAUUUUUUCAUAUUCAAUAUAACUGACUCUUCAGAGGUCUCAGUGAGGCAUUGACAAAGCCCCUUCCAAAAUGAAACUCUCAAUAACCUUCUCUGAUCUGGUCCAUAAACCAAGUAUGAAGAAGCUGAGGAAUUGAAGUAGUUGACCAAAUCAUCAUACAGUUUUUCUAACCUCAAACCAGAAAAUAGUUUUAAAAAGUCAGACAGGUGGUCGAGCAGUAAUGAUUGCAGAUUUGGCUCUAGUGUCCUGAACCUGGAUAACUCUGUGAGCUCAUCCAAGAAAUGCAGGAGGUGGCUGACAUCAUUUGCAUGAGCUAGAGAGAAAAGUAUACAUUCUUCUCUAAGUAAUUUCGAAGACAGUUCCAUCUGCACCUUGAUAGACGACUGGGCUUCAUACCUCAUGCAACGUCUGACGAUAGCGCCCCAAUCUAAAGUAGGCAAUCUAGGAGCCUCUGAGAGGCAUCUUAAAACAGUUGCAAUUGUGUUUGCAUGUGGUAUCUCACCUGUCUGCAAGUUAGUAAAACAAGUAAAUAUACAACUAAAAGCUUGGUAACAAGAACUGACAAGAUCAAUAUUAAUAUAAAUCAUUUAAGGACGUAUUCACUUAGAAGUGCACACCCUUUUGCCAUAAAGUCAAAAAUUGUCAGCAAAAAUAAAGCAAUCAAUAUGAAUUCCAGAUAUUGAAUCCACAAUUAUCUUCCAAACAAGAUUCAACUUUUUAAGCUUCUUUAACUUGCACAUAUACGUUCUUAUAUGGAAACUGAUUGUCAGGUUUUGUAUGUAAUAUGUAUAAACCAGAAUCUCAUGUAUCAAUUGUGAAUAUUAUAUCUAUAGGAUAUAUGGCCAAACCCAACUAGUUUGGGAUUAAGGCUUAGUUGAGUUAUGGCCUGGUGCAACUUUAUAAGUUGAGGCCAAUUUCACACAUUAGUCAUUCUUUAAUAAUUACCUAGUCUCCAGUCCUCUCAAUGAAUUGAGCUCAUUAUUUUGACCAAACUUAACUUAGUGUUCCAUGGCAUUAUUGUACCCCCGUAAUACCUGUCUCUAUUAGUAACAUGUUGCAAACAUUGUAAUUGUUGAACACUUAAUUUUCCAGAAUUACUGGUGCACAACUUGCCUUAUUGGUUAACUAUACUGCAUACCACGUCUAGAACUACUCAUCAUAUGACACCUGGUGGAUCAACUUAAUUUUAGUAGCUGGCUACAAAAUUUAAUAAUGUUCUAUGGGCUCUUAAAUAUAAUCUUUAUAUUUACGGGAUAUAUGGCCGACCCCAACUAGUUUAGGAUUAAGGCUUACUUGAGUUGAGUAGAGUUGAUGGCCUAUUGCAAUUGUACAAGUUGGGCCAAUUCCGCACAUUAGUUAUUCUUUAAUAAUUACCUAGUCUCCCAUCCUCUCAAUGAAUUGUGUCUCAUUUUUUUGACCAAACCUUGGUCAAGUCUUCCAUGGCCUUAUUGUGCCCCUCUAACACUUGUCUCUAUUAGCAACACAUUGCAUCAUUGGAACUGUUGAACACUUCAUUUUUUCCCGAAUAUGUGCACAACUUGCCUGGUUGGUUAACUACCCUGCAUACCAGUUCUGGAGCCACUUAUCAUACGACACCUUGUGGAUCAACUUAUGAUUAUAUUUUAGCAGCUGGCUACAAAAUUCGUAAUGUUCUCCAGGCACUUAACUCAAGUAUAAACAUAUUUAAAUUCUAGCAGUGGCCCAAAAAGUUAAUAAUGUUUUUUUUCAGGUUCCUAAUUGAACUAUAAACUCAGUUUCUAUAAGUCAAAUAGAUGCUUCUUGUUAUUUACAUAUUCCUUGUAAAGGCUAAAAGUUCAGUAAGACCAUAUUUUUAAGGUAGCUUUAUCAUUUUUGAACACCUUCAUGCCCUAUAUCUAAUGUUUCUUAUGUUAUGCCACACUUGGCCUAUCUCCAAUUUGUACACUAUCAUCUUGAAUAAUGCAUCUCUCAUCUGUUUCCAACUAUAUAGACCUCUAAUAGGCAAGUGCAAGCAUGAUUUCUUCCUUUCCGACCAACUUCUUUUGAUUGGUGGUUAAAAAAGGGAAAUGGGUGAAACCAAUGUGUUACCUUUCGUUUGAGUGCAAACUAAAGAUGAAAGUGAAAUUAGUUUAAUUUCCCUUGACUGUUUCACCAUUAAAAAGGGGACAAUUAUGAACUAAGUGGGAGGGGGAAAUAUUGAGAUGACUGCAUUAAGCUAUGAAUAUGUGUGUGGUAUAAAGCAAGAUGUGAGUGAUGAAACAUGCCAAUGGCUGUGCUCUCACUUGGAGAAAAAGCAGUUAGAAUCUUGUGAUGUCAAUUUAGGAAGUGAUAGAGUGACAAUCAAAUGGCAACAGUUGGAGAAUUUGCACAGAUUUUUAACUAAAAUAAUAUUGACUAAAUUGUGAAUUACUCAAAUUUCAAGACAUUCUUUGCAUCAUUUUGCUCUAACCCAUUAAAGUAAAAUAUGCAACAAAUGGUAAUCAAGUAUACAAAGCACAUAGGAUCAGAUCAGGUGUAAAUUACUUGUCCAACCAAGUAACCAUACGUCUUGCAAGAAGGUAGAAUAUGUGAAUACUCAUGAAACUUGUAGAGUAUAAAAUUACUCAUAGAAUGCAAUUUCUUGAAAUCAUAAUUAGGAUAAAGGAUUUUUACAAAUACUUGAUAUUUUUCUGAAAAAAUGUACAAAAGGUCAGUAAGUAAUUCAGUCACCAAAUUUUUGAGACAAAACAAGGAAAGAAGCCAUUGAUGACAUCCCCAGUGGCAGGUUUCCCUGCAAUGAGGAAAAACAAAAGGAUUCGACGUGUAUUAGAGAUUGUUUCUAGUGCAGAUAUACCAUUUUCCUCAUCAGCCUUUGUUCAACACAAUAAAGAUUCUUCAAUACCCCUUUUGCUGCAUCCAAAUUGGCAAUAUUUUUAUCAUCUUCAAUCACAGUAUAAGUCCAUCAAUUCAGAUACAACCUUAAUAUGACCAGGGUGGCAUCCUUUCCAGACUUCUAAGUUCUAAGAGAAGUUAGACUUUCAUAUUUCACCCAACACAGAAAUUCCUUAAAGACACAAAUUAUGAUUGAGCUUUGGGUGUCCUAGUGCUACAACAUGCUGAUGUGAGCUCUUUCAGUGUAUGUCUCCCAUUAGCAUUAGUUGCUUACUUGUGUACCAACCACUAACGCAAAAAGAAUUCAGUAAAAUGCAGAUAAAACUGACAAUAGAAUCAGCAAACUCACCUUAUUAUAGUCAAUAUCAUUUAGCCACAAGCAGAGUUUCCAAACUAAGCUUUCCUCAGAAAAAUUUUGUGAUGAUUGAUGGAAAUCAAUGGAACUUGUUUGGGAACCAUUGACGUUUUGAAAUUCCUUUGACCACCAUCGGUGUCUAAGAAAUGAAACAGCCCAAGCAGCAUAUUGUUUAACAUGUUGAUCCUUUGAAUUCUUUGCAACCAGAAACAUUUCCUGAACCAUUGAUGUUGAGAGGGUCUCACAAACAGGACUUGAAAGUAUGGGGCCCCUGAUAAAGGUAGACUCCUGCUUAAUAAAAUGAUGGUCAAGUCAGUUAAUGAAGAAGCUACACACUGAAGAACAUCAGGAAAUAACUAAUGACCUGCUCACGAUUAAUUUGCAAAGUGAUGGGCUGAGGAUACACUUCCGUGAGAUCCCCUGCACCUGCACCAAAUGCAUUAACAACUCCAAGCAUCCCACCCAAGUGGACAGGAGGAGGAUAUGGGUGAGUGUAAGUGUUUCUUAGAAUUUCCAGAAGAUGCUUUACAUCAUCAAAUCUCAUAGAGUGCACCCCAUCAUUCAGGAUGCAAGAAAGUAAGGAUCCAGCACCAACAGAGGUUGUCAUCAACAGAUUCUGAUAAAGAGUUCCAGAUUUUUUUAAGUUUAGAAGAUCAGAAAUUAAUGAAGUGUAAAGAUUGAAGAGUGUAUCUAAAUUAUUGUCGACUAAUUCAACUCUCUGGCAAAAACCCACAACUUUGGGAAGUGCAAGACAUGAGCCCAUACAAAGUGGUAUCUCAGCCAGUUCAUUGCAAACUAGGGAACUAUAGGUAGGGGAAUUAACAUGCAAGAUCCAUGAAACUAACAUAUUUUUUAUUUUAAGAACAGCAUCAUGAGCUCCAAAUCUAUAUAGUGCAACCACACAAUUUCCCAAACCCAGUACAAGCCCUGCAAGACCCCAAGCAUCUUCCUCCAAGUUAUCACAGUUUUCAAGGGGCAAGUCUGAAGUGCUUGCUCCAUAUCCAGUCAGUGGAAAGCUAUCAUUGAGGCUCUUAAAUGAAACAGAUGUAGAAGGGCAUAGCUGGCAUAUCAUCCGAGACAAGGUGCUAACAAUAUCAUGAAGCAAUGUAGUUUCUGUAAGCCUAGUACUUCCUUCAAAUUCUGAAUCAUCAGAAAUUCCAGCCCUCGUAAGAAGGUCCUGACAAGCAAAACCAAGACCCACUCCACAAGCUCCUUUCACAAAAGGGCUCUUGCUGUUACAGAUUACCUGAUACAAUGAAUAACCAAAAGCAAGAGCUGUGAAAUACUUUAUUCGAUAGAAACUUGUAAUGACGGUACAAUAACAGAAUCUUAAGUAAACACAAAUGCCAAGACCACUAGUCUAGCAGAAGAAUUACAAACAAGUUUAUGAAAUACAGAUCAGGGUGUAAAUCAUAAAUAGAUAAUAGAUCAUAUUAUAAACUCUUUUGUGGUUGAUAACCUUCAAGAAAAUAAACCACAAGCACAUGACAAAAGGAAAAAAAAGUGUGAAGUGUAUACAACAAUUCCAAUAUAUUAAUCAAACUAUAAUAGCUCAUUUCAAUGCUAGAAAUGUCAUACAGCAAAAAUAUCUCCAAUUAUUUUUAUUUUAACUCAGUUGUAUAUUUUUUAAGUGUUGUGAUAUGAAACAUAAAGCUUUUUAAACACGUGAAAUAUUAGGUUGUAGCUUAAGGAAUUUAAGUUUUGGUUGGUUAGAAAAGGAUCUGCACAAGGAAAAAAGUUUAGCAUCCAACGAGUCCUAGUUCGACUGUUUGAGUGGAAUAAGAUUUGUGCUAAAUGUUAGGUUGCCUUAGAAAGCAUGUUGCUAUUGACAGUAUUAUUAGCAUAAUAUUAUACAUUGCUGAUCAUCUUGUAUACAAUACCUAGUGGCAUUGUAUCUAGAAUCUCAAGAAUCAAGAAUCCUGCAAGAGAACACUUGAUACAGAUAUUUUUGUGUUUUGUUAGAGGACAAGAGGUCUAAAUUAUUUAGUGAUUGAAAUUAAUAGCCUAAAAUGAUACUUCUAGUUAAGUGUCAUACCUUUUUCUUCCAGAGAUUAGCCAAGGUUUGUUUGCUCCAAAGUCUUAUAAAUUUACCUCAAAAGCUGAUUUCGUCCUUCUUUCAUUAUUUUGAUGCACCCCCACCCUUUGAGUGAGAGACAGAGAGGGGGGCUAUACAAAAUCAGUGGGUCAAAGUCUCUCUUGAAGAUUUAUCUUGUCCAUGUCUUUUCUCCCCUCCUUGUGAUCUAGGGUAAUGCAUCAAUCUAAACUGCGAUAUCCACAUGCACUACACGAGAUAGGUUCGAUCUUAUUUAAAAGAACAAACCAAUAAUGUACCUGAAGUAGUCCAUUUAUGACUUCAAACUUUUGCCUUCUAUCUGUUGCAUGAAGACAAUUAGAAACCAGUCCCAAUGAAAGGGCUGCUGACCAUUGUUGGUGUUCAUGUUCAUACUCAAACAACCAUUUCAGAAGAACGUUUGAUGCUGAAGAGAUUACUGCAUGGGCUGAUGAAGGCACAACCUGAGCAAAAAUGAAGUAGCAAAGAGAUGAGUACAAGCAAAUAAGAUAUCGUAAAUGUGAGCUAGAGCAACAAAAAUAGGUUAAAAAAGAUUUGUUAGAAUAUAACAAUCAUUCAACACCAUACAAUAAAAGGCAAUGUCUCAUGGCCGGGCAAAAACACAAUUCAUAUGCCAUAGAUGGAAAAUUAUAAGAGCCCAUAUUUUUUUAAAAGAGUUGGGCCUGGGCUGGCCACUGGGCCGCAUCACGCACGUUGGCAAGGAGGAAGACUCAUGAUAAGAGUUUUUCUCUUCCCCGUUUCCGCCGGAUUCGAGCGGAGCCCUAGGGCUCCUCCAUAAAAGAAUGUUGUCCUUUUCUUCCUCCCUUCUCUCUCUAUCUUCGUGUUUCUCUCUCUAGUUUAUUCAGCAAAACUUUGGGUGAAAGGGACUCAGUGGGUAGUCCUAGCUUGCUACGUGAUAGUGGACCCUUUAGUUACCUCGAAUGAUUUUUGAUGUUAAUUUAGUUUUGUAGGAGAACAAUCUUAUGGGCAAGAGGACAUCGAGCAGGAUUCUGCACACCCUGAUUCGUAGAUCGCAGUGUGGACUGUGGACAGGUAAUUAGUUAGUCUGGAUUGUCGGCAUAGAGGUAAGAAUUCUUGUACACCCACCUGCAUGUUUAUAAAUAUUUUGUAAAUGUAUAUGCAUGAUAUGCUAAUGAUCAAGAUAAGUAAGAUGCAAAAAAAAAUUUUAUGAUGGUUCAUGUAUUAAACAAUAUUUUGAUUAUGUAUACUUGUGAUUAAUACUAUGAUGGAUGCAUAUAUGAGUAUAACUUACAUUUGUAUAAUCAAACUAAUAAAUACGGUGCUCUAGAUUAACCAUGUUAUAUUGAUUGCUCUAUCACAGGCGGAAAACAUGACACUUGUCCCGUCAUAGGCUAGAAAUGUGACACUAAUCGAUUGCUCCAUCAUGGGAGAAAAACGUGACCAUGGUUAGUCUAAAGCCAGAAAUAAAAAGAAUUGAUAUGUGGAUGUGAAUUUGAUUGAAUGAAUAAAGACUCUAGCUGAUCUUGUUAUUAUCGAUUGACCUAUCACAAGCUGAAAAUGUGGCACUAUCAAUUACGCCGUCAUGGGCGGAAAACGUGAUAUCUAUUGAUUGCCCUGUCACGAGCAUGAAAUGCGACCGAAAUUUGGCCUAAAGUCAAAAAGAUAAUCGAUCUUGGAUCCAGAUAGGGUUAAAAAGGAAUGGAAUGAAAAGCUGCCUGUUGAAAAUACUAUUAAAGAUUUAUGAGAUAUCGUAUGAUAUAUCACCCUUGAGUGGUUGGAUUUUUAUUGAUAUUUAUACUGUUUAUUCGAGCAUUGUUGAUAGUCGGUUUGUGAUUUCAUUGUGGGUAAUGAUUUCUUGCUAUUUUCAAACUUAUAUUAUUGUGUUGGUGUGGAUGUCUGAAAAUUCUUACUGGAUCGUAAAGCUCACACCACAUCUUGCUUUUUUCUUUCAAAGUUGCAGGAUGCUUGGUACUUGGCUAUAAUUGGGAUCACGAGUAAAAGGAUAAAUAGAUAGACAAUCAAUGAUACCGGUUAGAUGAUUAAAUUUUGUAAUUGUACAAGUUUUGUUAUUUAUUGUGAAUUGAGAUCAUUAUUAUUCAGUAAUAUUGAGGUUGUAAUAAAUUUUCAAGCCUUGCAUAUUCUCUUGGGCCUUGCCCUAGAGAGUAUACAGUCGUGUCACGUAGCUAACCCAGGUCCUGAGUUCAGGGCUUGACAAAAACCACAUUUUUGUCCAUUAAAUGCUUUGGUAGUAAACCUCCAAAAACAAUAUUUUUGGGUUUUGUGGCAUGUAAGGUGUCAUGAUUAUAUUCAAUGAUGUAAAUUUUCAAUCUCAAUGCCCACCACAUAUUAUGAACCGGUAGCUAUUGGUUUUGAAUCCUACACACAAAAUAGCAGUUAAUCAACUUUCUCUCAAGCUAAAGUUAAACUAGAUCCAGUGGUAAGUAAUUGCACUUGUGACCCUCAGGAGUAGUGCCUUUUGUGCUGACAGCUUCACACUUGACAGGGUGUACUUGUUAGGCCUCAGCAAAAAACUGAGCCAUAUUGGGAGGGUCAUACAUGUUGAAGUCCAAUAACCAUAAGUCAAACCAAAACUCUCUUUUCACAUAUGCAAGAAUGCAUAACUAAGGAUCUGUUAGGCAUCACUUCCAAUAUUCAGUUUUCAAUUUUCAAAAAAACCAAAACCACCUUCUCUUGUUUUGAAGACUGAACCCAAAACUUGUUUGGUAAUACUCAAGUUGUGGCGGCAGUGGUGGUCGGCCGGCUAGCGAGCAGUAACGGUGGCUGGUGGAGGUGCUAAACAAUGGUGGCGAUAAGUGGCCGACAGGCGGUGGCAUAGGGCCAAUGAGGGGGGUGGCAGCGGCAACGGUGUUGGUUAUGGAUGGUUUUUGUUAAAAAAAACCAUGAAAGCUACUCCUAAGAACUUUCACAUAUUUCAGAAAUCAAACUGCAAAAUGCUAAUCAAGAAGUUUCCAGCCUUGAUUUCCUUGAUUUCAAUAUUCUCAUAAACAAAAACCAAAAAUUGAAAACUGACAGUGAUUCCAAAAAGGCCCUAAAUAAGAGAAGGCUUAUUUGUUUGAUGAUGCAAUACGUGAACUUCUGGAAUACUUUAUGCAGUGACAUUCAAAGAUUGAAGCAUCACAUGCCAAUGGCAUGCUGGCUUGGCACUAGCAUAGAACCAUAGCAUGCCAUUCCAUGCCCAUGCCACAUGCCAGUAAGGCACUAGCUUUGUACGUUUUUUAUGUCAUGUCAUACAGUGCCAACCAGCACUAAAUCCAUGUUGACAUUACUCCUGAUAUUCUAAAUAUUGUAGUGUUUUAUAAUGUUAUUGUCAAAAAGAAAUGACAAUGAUUUCAGAUAGUAAUGCUUGGCCAUUAUAUUUCAUUACAAUUCAAAUGAGCAUAUAUCUAAGUAUCUAACUAGCUUACUGGGUGAAAUCAGUUUCAUGAGCAUUAGAGUCAAAUUAAAACAAAUGAAUUAUACUAUAAAGCCAAGUGGGGAAUAUAAGAAUAUAUCUUUUUAAAAAUCUUUUUGAUGCCAUUCAUUGCUGUUAGAAUACCAUUGACUUGGGUUGCUAGGACAAAUUUCUCAAGGAACAUCAACAUAGCAAGGCCUAGAUAAUAUGCAUUAUUUGUUCCAAAAUAACAAAACAUGAAACAUCUCUCUCUACCUCUCUUUCUCUCUCUCUUCUCAUAGAUAACUUUUCUAGACAUGAAGCAAUUAUUGGUUACAAAAGAAGAAUUACAUCUCGUGUCAUGGAUGAUCUCAAAAAGGCUUAGAAGCAUAUGAUUUGCAAACAAGUUAAAGCAAGAAAUCAAUGGUUCCUUGUUCCAUGAGGAUCUCCCAAAACAAGGUUCAGUGAGAGUGUAGAAGGUAACUUGGGUCUUACCAAGGUUAAGGGAAAUUUGAAUGCCUACAGGUGAAAUUGAACAAAAAGGAUAGCAUGUGAAGGACAAUAAAACUCAAAGAACUUAUACCCAAAAAUAUAAAUGAUCUAUGUCAUACAGUAUUAAUAUAUGAUUUUUAUUAGAUAUCAUUUGGUUUGUUUUGAAAAAGCUAAAAAGGAAUAGUGGAAAUGUCUUUAGUGUAUGAUUGCUUCAUACUUCAUAGGUCCUAAAUGACAAGAGUUUGCGGUUUAGAAGAUGCUUAUGACACAGCUAGCCUAUCAAGAUGUAAUUUUCUGGGAUUAGGUUUUAUGAAAUCUUUUAUCUUUAAAGUUAGGAUUUAAAUAAGAUUUAUAGCCAUUAUUAUUGAAAUGGUUUCACUGAAUAAGGUUAUAAGCAAUUUUGUGGAGCUUUAAAUAACUGUUAUUUAAAAUUUGAAUGUUCAAUGGGACAUUGCAUUUUUUUUGCUACUGUAGAUCUCUUCCCUUUGCCCUCUUAUUUCUUUCAUCUCCCAUAAAGUCUCUAUCAUCCUUUUGGGAAACAGUCCUCAGAGAUUCAUUUCUUCUGACAGUCAUCUAAACGUGAAGGUAUUAUUUGUUACUUUUCAUUCUCUUGUUGGUUGGAUUAAAGAUCACUGGAAAUCACGGCUCCUUAUUUUUCUCCCACACGGACAAAUUUUCAAGUUAUAUCAGAUUAUAGAAAUUAAAAUAAGGCUGCGACUGGGCUGCUCAAAAUGGUCCCCAAGAUUCAAAAAAAUGUGAAAGAUCUGAUCUAACAGAGAACUAAAGGCAGCUCAUUUAAUGUUAUCUGGUCAACCAGAAUAAGUACUAAACAUAGCACCUGCCACCUAGCACAUGAUGUUGAAAGGUCAUUCUGAGUAGCAUACAUUAUCGCACUAGGAGCCAUAUAAAGAAGUCAAAUGAGUUCUUUACUCCAAUGCAGUGGCAUUUAAGAAUAACAUCAACAUAAACCAAAUCGCCUAUUGUUAGCAAAAAUUAUGCCACGUUGGGAGUCUGUAAGUGAUACAAAAUGGUAUUGGAAGCUAUAAUAUUCCACAUUAUGAGGGCAAUUUAGUUUGGCGUUGCUUGUAUGACUUUGCUUGUGGAUUUAAUAAUCAAGCAGAUUAAAUUUUCUACUAGCACUUCCAUUAUGGAAAAUAUGAAACUGAUCAGUAAGGCAUACCAAUAUACCAUAAUGAGAUCUCAUCUUACCAUGCAUAGUGCACCAAUAGCAAAGGCUAUGUUUACUGCAACUCGAGGAACAGAAUCUGCGGCAACUUUACACAUUGUCUACACAGGAAUAAAUGUAUAAUUAGCAUGCAGAAACUUCUAUGAGAUACUCAGAAAUCUGUACAAUACCUAAAACUAGAAAAGCCAAGCAAUUUACUCAACCUGAAACAAGGUUAAGCAUAAUAGUAUACAAGAUAAACCAGAAAUACUAGCAAUAAAUUUCACAGCAGGAACACGAGAUCUGCUUGGGAAAAUUAUGUCAUAAUAGCAACAUGCCCUUAAAAAAAAUUAUGUCACUAGUUUGGAGACAUCAAUUCAAGCACUAGCAAGCAUAAACUCAAGCUUGAGUUGUAACUUCUGGAAUAAAGCACAAGCAAAGGGAGUGAUACUACUUAAUUUGAAAUUCAAUUUAAUUGUACAUACUCACCACUAUAGGCCUCUUUCUAGAGCUUUGUGAAGCAUGAACAAGAGAUUUCUAGUCUCUGGAACUAGUUCUGUAUUACAGAAUUCUAAAUUGUUUUUUUGGCUAAAUACGGCAAAUUGUUAAUUGUGUUAUUGUGAAGAAACAACGUUGAGCCUUCAUAUUGCCAAUAAAAGCUGCUGAACUCUCAAACCAAGAAAACAAUAGCCACAAUUGUCAAUUUAUGACAUGAAAUGCUAAGCUACGAGAUGAGAUCAGCAAAAAGUCAUAUUUUCUGCACUUCUUGACCAAAACCAACCUAAGGCACCUAGCAUGGAGGGUUCCUCAUCACCCCUGUACUAUAGUCCUAAAAGCCUGUUAGUCCAGAUUCAUACACAUUGAGCUUAUUUCCCCCAAUUAUGUCCCCCAUCGAUCUGGGCUUACACAACCCAAGAGCCCAAAACUCUCUACAUACGUAUGCUACAAAAGUAAGUCCUAUAACACCAUGUACACCACAUACACAAGCUCAGAAGACAUUCAUGUUUAUGGUAUACCCCAGAUUGGCAGAUCCAUCUUGAACUCACAUGACAGCUACAUGAAGUAGAAUACUUCAUGUGAAUAAACUGCAAGUUUCACAUGGGACAAGGUUUUGGAUUUGCCAUUGGCCUCUCUCAAAAAGUCUCACCAUUGACUAAUUGGCAUAAAAGUUUACAUAAAGGUUUCAAAUCCAGUGUAGCUGAUAUCACAGAAAAGUGAUUCCCUGUUAUCUCAGUCUUAACAAAUCCAUGUUAACAUCUUUCCUCAGGCAUACAUCAGAUAUUAAGUACAUCAGAUCCUUCAAAAACCAUGUCCUAGAGAUACCUCAGCAUAGUUUCUCUGACAAAAAAGUAGAAUUCUCCAAAACAACGAUUGCAAUCAUAAAAUAAGAGGUGAAAGACGAUAAUGAAAAAAAAGUUCAAGGUAAGUAUGCAAUAUCAGUUGUAGGCUUGUAGCAUUAUCUUUUUUGAAAUAAAACAUUGUUUUCACAGUUCUUUCCUAUAAUCACUCUAAGGUAAGUUGUUUGGUUCUGGUAAUCAAGCUAUACUCAAGUUGGUAUAAUAUAAUAUAUCAAUGCCCUAGAUUCCUAUAAAGUGCAUUUAUUUAAUCUGGAGAGAAGGCCUAAAGUUACACUGCAGCACCAUACAAAACGAUGAAGUGAUAACAGACAAGAUAUGCAGCAGUCAUAAAAAAGUGAAGGAGUGAACCUUGAAGAUAUCGCUGGCAGCCCUUGAACUUUUAUCCAAUCCAUCAGAAGAACCUUUAGCAUCAGUAUGAAUAGCCACUGCCCCCAUCCAAUGGUGAAUGAAAGGUUUCCACGAUUGCAGUGCAAGAAGUGCAAACAAUAUAUUUCUCGAUGUAUGAAGGGACUCAGCUAUUUCCAACAGUGUCUUUUCAUAAACAGAAUGUAGUUUGCGAAAAUCCUAUAGGUAAACCACAUUUACAGGAAAAAAAUCAAUAGUGUAAUUUUCAAUUCUUAAAGAACUAAAAGCAUCAUCAACCACUAGGCAGUAGUAUAGAAGCCUCACCUUUGAUGUCCCAUUGCCAAUGGGAUCCUUAGAAGUGAAAACAAGAGAUAGCAGAGCUGCACCAGGUAACUCAACAUGUUUUUGUUCCCCUGCAUAAAAACAUUAGAACCAGGUUCUUAAAUCAACUUUCUGGCUUCAAAACAGUUGUAACAGAUACUAAUAUGUAACAAACAUAAAAGUCGAGAAUGAUAAAAGCAAUAAACAUUCACAAAACGUAAGAUUUGCACCAAGAGACUUUAUUCAGAUCAACAAAAUGAAAAUUUCAAAGAACGCCAAAAUGACCCGAACCGGCAGUUCAGCCCAUACCAAACUGAACCGACGCCGACCCAGAUAUGCGGCAUGCUACUAAAAGGCCAUUUGUCUAAAAUUAACAACCAGUAUUUCUUGAUACCUGGAGAAAACAUAGCCAGAGGAAAGGCAUCCAAUAAUUUUUCAACCUUGUGCACCAUGACUCUUUUCUCCUUAUGAAAUCUACGUCGAGUUCUGGAGUCAAUAUACAAAUCUUAUUAAGUGCACAUCAAUCAUUUUUCAAAUAAUAAGAAGAUAUAUGUUAAAUUAAUAAAAAUGAUGUUGACAUGUGUUCAAAUUUGAUAAUCUUGACUUGGAAUUCCUCCUUGGCCUUGAGUACUUCCACAUUAUCUUCAGAAACGAGACACUGAAAAUUUCUUCUCUUAAAAUCAGAAAUCUUGUCCUGAAUUUGUGCAACCUGAGAUUUUUUAAUUUACGUGAAGAAAUGAGAGAUGAGCCAUUUCAGCUACAAAGAAAGAAUACAAAUAUUUUAAGAAAUCAACCAGUUAAAAAGAUCAAAAUGUACCAAAAAAGAAAAUUUUACUCUAGGAAAUAAAAGGCAUAUGUGGGAGGAGUGAGUCAUUGAGCCACAAUGGACAAUAGCCUCACCUCAUAAUGGGACAAGGACUUAAAGGCAGCAACCCGUGCUUUCACCCAUAAAGAUUCCAAAAUACAGCUCCUAGAUGUUCCAACUUCCCACAAAAUCUGCACAACAGUUUUUGCAGCUUCAGGGUAAGCUUCUGCAUCCAUCGCACCCCAUCUUAACAAGGUGCACAAGCUGCACAAUGGUUUGGGAGAACAAAAAAAAAUGAACAACGGCACAAAUGUGAAGCUAAGAUUAACUUAAAUAACAAAGCAAUGAAUGCUUUAGGUAAUCCUUUAAUAGUAUGAGCUAUUGACAACUCCAAACUCCCCAAGAAGUUCCGUGAUGAUAUGUGAAAGGGUGUGCGUUAAUGUGGUCAUAGAGAAGGAAAAAAGGGCAAAAAGGAAUCAUGGACCCAAGCCCAUAAAAAUGAAACAAAGCAAGUUAGUUUACCAACAUUUAAUUAUGCUAUUUUUGGUGGUGAAGCAUUUUUUUCAGUAUGCUUUUAUUAUUGUCGGGCCUCUAGUUAUUUCACCAAUUAUUUAUUCAACUAUUUUCCAUUGCCACUAAACUAAGCAUCAUUGGUUUUUCCAUAUUCAUUUCUGACUGCCACGUGCUAAAGAGAUUAUUUCGACGAUAAUUUCCUUUCAGUCAAAAAUGUUUGCUUGCAAGAAAUAUACAUGAGUGGUCAAAGAAUGGUCUGUGACCAGGUAUAAGCCCAGGCCACACAAAUAGAAUAGUCAUUGUAUAGCCCAAGGGGCAUUUUGAUCUCCUGGAACAACAUGGUUAUUUUAAUUCGUACCGCUUUUUCUCCCUUCUGUUUAUCUACUUUCUUCAUUCUUCGCUUUUUCUUCUUUAUUUCAGAUCAACUGCAGUCUGCACCUUCAGGAUUUUCUCAUUUGUUGCAAUCAACUCACAUGUUUGCAUGAUUUAAGGCACUUAAAUUUAAAAAAGAUGACACGUAGGAGAUACUAACUUUGCACCUAUAUGAUGGCUAUUGGUCUUUUUUUUAAAUAACAAACAGAUACCAUUAAGAAAUUAAUUGUUAUGUUCAAGUCAUCAAAUAAAACAAAUACACAAAAUGACAGUGAGCUCUCUAAAUCAUAGUAUGAUUAUUGGCUAGUCAUUUAGGCUCAAUAUUCCCAAAAAAAAAAAACCAUCAAUAUUAUUUAAAAUGUAAUGUUGGCGAAUAAAGGCUACAUAAUUUAAUUAUUAGACAACGAUAGAAUAAGCCAAUUGGAGCAUGCACAGCAAGAGCCACAAAUGGCCUCUAUUUCAGGUUCAAAUUAUAAAAAGGUGUUUGACUAAACAAUUAAGGAUUGGAAGAGCGAAUUUUUAAGGCAUUUGGGUAUUCCUGCUGGAAAUCAGGCCUAUUGGCCUGGCCAGCCCGCAAGUCUCCUAAAGGCCAACCAAGACUUAGCCUAAAUCCCAGUCCAUGGGCCUGUUGAUCUGCAAGAAGGAAAAAAAGACCCAUGAAGAUCUUUUUUUUUUCCUCCCACAGGAUUGGAGUUGGGAGGGUGUUGGGUUGAUAUGGGCCCUAUCCACAUGGGCUUCCCAAUCCACGAAUCUAGCAAGAAAUCCAACCCAAUCUUGCUGGAUUUCCCAAACAAGACCUAAAGGGAAAUACAUUAGGGUUGUCUUGUAGUUGACGAGAAAAAAGUCAAAAUGAAACCAUGUAGAUGACACAAGAAACUGACAAAAUUCCAAAGUAAUGGCAUAGUUCUUGUAACAAUUUAUUUGCUUAAAUUCGAAUUUUUUGGUGCAAAAAUGAAAUGGAUGUUGAUGAUCAAGAAAGAUGCAUGCAAAAUGUCAUCAUAUAGGCAUCUUGCUUAUGAGCAAUCUUGUUGAACCAUGUCGUGUGCUUUGUAAAAGGUAGCAAAAGAAUAGAUCAAGGGAAAUUGAGUUAAAGAAUUAUAGAAUACUUGAGCCACUCAAUCCCCUCCAAAGAAAAGGAUAACAUACUGGAGGUCUACUUACCCAUGCGCAACAAUAGGAUCAACAGAAUGAUCAAGCAUAUGCUUCGAAAUAACAUUCCAGGCUGUGUAAAAAUCUGCUAAGAAGAUAGAUUUCAUGAGUGGAAAACAUUACUUGCAUGACCACAUAUGUGACAAUCCACUGAUAAGGGAAACAGUAGUGGACUUAGAUAAAGUUUUUCUGAAAAAAUUGAGCAAUGGAAGCAGUUCACAAAUACAAUUAUUAACAUAAAGCAUGUCUGACACAAUCAGUAUAAAACCCAAUUGGUCCUGCUAGGAAGUCAUUUAAGUAAUAAUAGCUAGAAAAAUAUAAUAAAAAGCACUCAUGUUUCCUGUCAUGACACCUUUUCAUCUUAAUUGAGAUCCAUAAGAAGCAAGCACAUAAGAGAUUACUCAUGUAACAAGGAAAAUUAGCAAGCGUCGGAUCCGAGUAAAUGGAAGCACUUUAUCUAAGACUGCUAAUUUAUUAGGUGGUAUUCUAAUCUGUCUCAAUUUUCACUAGAAUACCCCUUUUAGUAGAUAUUAGAUAGCAAACACAUGCAGCAGAAAGACAUCCAUACAGAAUUAUUUUAAGUUAAAUUUCUACAAAAUAUACAUUUGACAGGAAUUCAUAGAACAUAUCUUUCAGAUACCUAAGUAGAGCUAGUGACACUUCCUAGAGAAGCAAACCAUGAUGUCUGCAAGCACCUAAACUCAUCCCUUUUAUUGACUGUCUUCACUUCCAUUGUUAGUCAUUAAAUGCGAAAGUUGUUAACUAGAAACUUUGGAAUGUGAAACGUUAGCCUCCCCAAAUAUAGGUUGUUGAAGAUUGACUUGAUGAAAUCAUGUUUCGAUUAUGGCAUAGUGUUCUUCGGUUGAUAUGUGACGGGUUUUGAAUUGUUAGGCCCUGGUGUAAUGGUUUUGCACCCAACUAGCGCAAGCCAACAUUUUGAAGUGGUGAAUCACAGACUACAAAACUCACCAGAAAAUCAAGCCUUCCACUAGCGUCAACCAUAUAUACGGCAUGAAAAAGAGGGGUUCAGACUGAAUUAAAUACAGAAUUAGAAGCAUCUCUCUUUCCUUAUCCCCCCACCCCCACCCCUUACCCAGGUCCAGAUUUUUGAGGAUGCACCAUCCAAGAAUCAAAACCAAAACCUCCAAUUGCCAAGCAGAGGGGUGUGACCACCAGGAUAGUCUUGGUUCAUCCUAUUCUAUUCAUAUUACUGUAACAGCCAUUAUGGCUCUACUUCACAGGCUUGGGUAACGAUCUAACCAUUAUGGCUUCUUUAGAUCAAUCCUUGAUGAUUUGAUACAAAUUGCACUACAAUUACCCAGAUCCAAUUUUUUAAGGAUUCACUACCCAAGAAUCAAACCAAAACCUUCGAUUGUAAGUAGAGGGGUCUGACCAUCGAGACAAGUCCUAGUUCAUCCUUUUGUAUUCAUAUUACUGUAACAGCCUCUAUGGCUCUACUUCGCAGGCUUGGGUAAUCAUUACACCACUAAGGUUUCUUUGAACAUAGCUCAUAAAGCAUCUUGUUUAGUGGUCAAGAUCAAUCCUUCAUAAUUUGAGUCAAAAUGACACAAGACAUGCAUCGAAAUUGAUUAUCAAUUUUAAGUGUUUGUUCUGAUCUUCUAGUCUAUUAACAAAGAUCAGGAGCAUUUCUAACAUAGGAAUAGAUUACAAAUGUUCUUCAGAUCUAUCUUUUGGGUAAAGAAUAGCCAACACGGGUGUGCAUGUUUCCAACAAAUUUUCGCCAAAGAGCUUAUUUGAGGGUUUCUGAUUAGUUCCAUGACAAAGUUGCGAAAAAGUCAGAGAAAUAUCUUCAUACUUAUGCAUGAUAUUGUGCGUUCUCUUCUUAUAGGUAUCUCCACAUUAGUUAUUCACACUAACAGACUAGCCUUAAUCUAUUCUACAUCUCAUCUACUGAAUGUUCAUUUUUCCUACUUAGACUAUUCUGCCUUGACGACCUUUAUAGCCUAUGGAUUGUGAACCUAUUUUUCCAUUAGGCCGAUACAACAUUUUCUUUAGUUGUCAAUAUGAUAGUGGAACUCUAAAGAACUCUUGAUAUCGUUCGCUUCCCAAAAUUCUCAAGAUAUUUAAUGCUUAUUCCUUCUGUGAUCAGUUCCUCAAAGCAAUCCUUCGUGAUAAAAUCAAUGUCAUCAUCAACCAUUUCUAUCCAUAAUUGAUAUGGUCAUAUCGUUUUUGGCUAAAAAUAUAUGAAUUUUAAUGAAGAGGCCUGAGUUCCACAAUCUAAUGGCAUACUAGCAUACUAAAUCCUGGCUAUUAACCAAGGUUUUAAAUAAUGUGGAACAGGAUUGUCCUGAUUUUUCCAUGGAACAAGAUCCCCCGCAUAUCGACACGGAAGAUGGUUGAUGUCUCAUCUCCUCCUGGUCUAUUUUCCAACUCUUCUCGUCCCGACACUCGGGACAAUAGGAUGUCCUGCCAUCCAACUGGUACUUAAAGUGAAACAUUGUUUGCUUCAUCCAAGGUAUUCCGAACCGGUACCGGUAGGCGUACUGGUGGCCUAUCAAACUGAUUCAUCAUUCUUGGUACCAUUUCGGUAUCGGGGCCGUACUGAGAGCCCCAGUCGGAGCUGGAGAAGACGAGGUGAAAAAGAGAGUGAGCAGGGGAGGGAGGGAGAAAGAGAGGCCUCUGUCGCCCGCAGAGGGCCGCAGGGAGCCGGCAAAGGCCACAGGGGGCCGGCAGAGCCUGCAACCCCUUGUUUCUUUCCAAACAGGGAACGUGGCCAUAGAAAAAAAACUCCAAAUUUUUCGUUUGCCGACUUCACUUAAAAAACUCCAAAUUUUUUUCCGCGGCCCCAUCUCAUGUUUCUUUCGAAACAGGGGAUGCGGUCGCGGCUUCAGCCUCUGCCACCCCCCCCAGUGGCCUCCCCCCGCCCCCCACAACCCUCCACGGGCAGCGAAGGCUUCUCCUCCCUCCCUCCCCCGCUCGCACUCUCCUCUCUUCUUCUUCCCCGGUUCCGGCUGAGUUCUCUCGAUACGAGCCCUGUAUCAUUUUUUAUUGCGGAACCGGUUUGGUACAGACUAAACCAGCUAGUACGGGUUGAUUCAGCAUAUGGCUCCAUCUAUCUAGCUUUAGCUUUCCUACCUAACCAUAUUUAACAGCCUUUAUGUCAACAUAGUUUUCUAGAACAAAUAUAGUUAGCCUUAAAAAAUAAAUAAAUAAAUAGUAUCUGUGAGAGCGCUUGUGUGUAGCCUCUAUAUCAAAUUAGUUUUCUAGAAGGAAUAAAGUUGGCCUUAAAAUAAAUGAAUAAAUGAGUGUGAUAGUGUUUUUGAGUGUGUGUCUGAAAUGAAUACUAUUGGCCUUAAAAAAUAAUAAAUAAAUACUAUUUGUUUUUGUGUUUGUGUGUAUUUAGUAGCCUCUAUGUCAAAUUAGUUUUCUAGAACAAAUAUUGUUGGCCUUAAAAUAAAUAGCUAAACAUAUAAAUAAAUACCAGACGUGUGUGUUGUGAAUCCUCAACAAGAGUCUAGAAAUAUCUUGGAUGUGAAUUUUCACCUCUCUUUUUUUUUCUGAAUCUUGACCAAAACCAUAAUUAUGUGUUCUUCUAAUUGCUCUAUAUAGACAAGACUUAUUUGGCAAAUAUAUCCUAUCUACAAUCAUGGGGUUCACAUUUUCCAGAUUUCGUUAGAUCAUCAACCUUGUUAAUUGUUGUUGCUCGUCUACCCCAUUUAGGUGUUCACAUAGUUGUCUCCAAGUUCUUUUGAAAGAAAAUUUUUCUAUUUUCUAUACACGACUUCAAAUUAUUACUUGAAGUUUGAAAUAUCACUACUAGAAGCACCUAUUUUUAAUAUUAGCUCAUCAUUUUCAAAGAGAAGACCCAACACACUAAAAUAUUUAUCUCAUAACAAGAACUAGUUUGAUUUUAUUUUUAGAUGAAUUAAACCAUUUAAUCAAGAUGAAAAGAACCACUUCCCAGAAGAGAAAGAUAUUAAGAAUUUUUCAGAUGGGCAAACACAAACAUGGAUGACUUGUCAAUAUUUAUGAUGGUUGAUAGAAACAUGUCGCCAUGAUGCAAAGAUGUGGCAGAUGCUAUAGUGAAUAUAGGAUAGGGGACUAAGCAGGGAUGAAUGGGUGAGGAUAAGGUAGCAUUAUGUGUUAACAUUUUGGUCUAGGCAUACUGAAUGGAUGCUCCAAAUUCCCUAAAUAUAUCGAAAUAUAUAAAAUUCAACUCUAGGAUUUUGAGCCAACCCGCACCCACGGGACUCACUGAAUCUUGGCCAGGCAACUGUGAGUGCUGAGUCUGUAUUCAAAUUAGAUAUUGAAUUUGGGGCACAAAUAAGUCCCCAAACCCAUUGUCAUUUGUCUAAGGCCUGGCCAGAAGCUCUGCCGGAUCAAGCCCAUUAGCAGCCUUAGAUAAAAAGGACUGGUGAACCCUAAUUAAACAACUGACAUUGUAUAAGAGUAUACUUGUACAGCACAGUAAUAAUAUGAUGACUCUAAAAUACAAAACAUUACUAACUGAGGAAAAAAAAAGAAGCUAAAUUGCUGGUCUUUAAACAAGAUGGUUGUAAAGUUGUCAUACAAGCAAAGAAGUAUUACCAACUACAUCUUCCUUGCAAAGAUGGGCAAGGCUUUCAAGACCAAGAGCUUGUACAAUCGGAUCUCUGCUCUCGAUACAUGACUGUUAAUAUAGAAGAAUAUAGAUAAAGUUUCUAAAGUGUAGCCAAACAAGCAUGGAAAGAGUUUUAAGGAUUCAUACCGACACAGAUAGUAUAAGGUCAACACCCCUAUCAGGAUUGUGCCUGCAAACAUCGCGUAUUGAAGCAGCAACACUAAUACAAAUUUCUCUCUCAGAGGUAAAAAAAGAAAAUGCUUCAGGAUCCAAGACUCCCUAUUUGAGAGGGGGAGGGGUACCAUUAGCAAAGAACUGGACGCCACAAAAAAGUCAAGCAGGUAUUUUCUAUCUAAUGAAAAGUAAUAAUAGAUAUCUGUGACAAAAAAAAUUCACCAAUUUAGUGGUUAACAUAAAGGCAUUAUUAGUAUAUCAUAGAGAAAAGCUGAUGAAAAGCUUGCGUGAGUGGGCAUGAAAAAUUCAACCCCUUCAGUCUACAACUAAAGGAUAAAUGCAUAAGUCUGUCAUCUCUUUUCAGCUUCUCACACUCUACAAUCAGGUAUAAACUAUCAUGCCAAUAUAUUGGCAUGGAUCUAAAUAUUUUAUGUAGUUAAAACAAAUUGCACAACUUUUCAAUUGAAUUAUUAGAUGUGCAUAAAAGCGAAAAUAUCUUAACCAACUCAUGAUGUACAAAACAAAGGGUGAAGAAUUUGAGAAAAUAUAAUGAUGCAAACUAAUGCUCAUUCACAAGUAGCCAUAUAGACUGUUCUUAGUCAAAGAUGGUCCACAUUGAACAAUAAUUUGUUUAUAUAGAGAGCAUACGGAUGAUUUCUUUCUGUGAGUCUAGUUAAGUGGCAUACUACAAAACUAAGGAAUAUGAAUAUGACAGAUGAGUCAUAGUAGUUAUAAGCAGUCAUCAUAUUGAACAGAAGUAAGACAUCUAAACCAAUAACAGCAUGUAAAUUAACGAUACAAGCAGCAGAAGUGUUGAACCCAAGAAAAAAAGUUGUAGGAAGAGGCUAUUGAACUUCUUCUAACAUGAAAGAUGCAAGGGGAUUGGUUGGAUGAACUUGGCCUGCUACAUCUCAUUCUAUGUUGAUGUUCGCAGUAUCGCAAGAAAGAAAAGUGAAAGUUCCAUGAAUUUAAAUCCCAGUACCUGGCCCCAUCUCAGUUUGCUCUUGGGAUGGUAUGGUACCAGGAUGGGAUAGUACUAUUUGAACAGACCAAAACAGUCAACAAUGACCAGAAUAAAAAAAAAAAGCACCCCGAUCUUUAUCGAUCCAUCUAACAGAAUGGUCAGGACAUUUCAAAAAACCGGCGUCCAGCACCUGUAUCGGUCUUGUUUUCUUGUCAGAACAGUAUGGACUGAGGAUACCAUCCUGUUCUAGUGGGACUUCAAUCUUUAAUUACUAGCAUCUAAUCAGGAAGGAAGAAACACAGUCUUAACUCAUUAGAUGAAGUUUUAUUAGCAAAAUACCAGUGCCAAACAUUAAGAAUGUUAAUCUAUGUGGCUGUACCCACAUGCUUGUACACUCAAAAGCUAUGAUAUAGCCAAAACAGAAACAAUUCUCAUCUGGCGACAAGGAUACUAGUGCCUCCCACGGCAAACUCUCAAAAUCCAGAUGCAGCAACAUGGAGGUUAUACAAUAAGAAUGUGCACAUACACAUAUAGUUGAUAAGGAUAGUCAAAUAGUGACAUGAAUACACAUGCCCACAGAAUCAUUGUUCACAAGUAUUUGUAGUUCUCUACAUUUACUUUCAUGAAUUCUGUCAACAAAAGCAAGUAAUUACUUAAUGACAUCAGUCAUAGAUCAAAGUGGACAGUGACCAGGAUAGGGCUUCACUUACAAUGAAUGAAAUAAUAUUUUCAGCUUUGAGUCUCCUAAAAAAAUUACAGAUUAUGGAGCAAAUAAAGCUAGAACAAAUCAGUCAGCAGAUAAACUUCGUUUUUGUACUUGUCACAUGUACCUGGGAAGGCCAUGCUUGCUGCCAAACCCACGUCCUAAUACUUACGCAGUUACACCCCCUCAUCAACCAGCACUUGUUAUUAGCAUAACUUUGAUUAUUCUGGUAAGUUUUGUAGUUUUUUUCAAAUAUUUACAAUCUUGUGAUAUAUAAUAUGCAGCCACAAUACGAAUAAGCUUUUGCUAUUGAGUUGUAUUUAACAAUAAGUAACAUGUAAGAAUCUUUUGAGCCCUAGAUCUUAAAUCUGUCCUUGCUACCAUACCAAAUUUGCACCCAAAUCUCCAGGCAAUUAAAUAUGGCUCCUUGCAUCUGGCAAUUUUACAAGUAUACCCAUGCAGAUGAUGCUUAGUUGAUAACAAAUUAUAAGAGAUCAGAGAUGCCCAUAAUGUCAACUAAGAUGAUGAAAAGAAGUAAUUUUCUUACUUGCAAAGUUCCAAAGGCCCGAUCUGUAACAAUCCAUGUCUUACAAAGCAAACGGAUAGCUGUAGCAUAUAACACUCUGAAAAAGCAAUAUUAGAAAAUUAAUAAAAUCCACCAACAACAACAACAACCGUAAUCAUAGAAAUAAUAAGUAAAAAACAAUAAUGCCUACAAAAAUUGCAACAAAACUGAAAAUCAUGUCACAAAUCAUGCAACUCUUGACAAUGCCUUCUAACAAGAUACGCCAUCUCGAUACCAGGGCCCCAAACUGGUACAACCCUGUUACUGUGUCGGUAUGCCUGGUAUAGGGGCCAAUUCGGCAUACCGAGUAUCGAUACGCUCCCAGUGCCGCAUACCAGUAAUGAACUAGUACAAUAUGGUAUGCCUCAUACCAUCCGUUUCGUUUCGGUAUGGUAUGGCAUACCUCGCCUUGUACUAUACAAGUGGAUUCAAGUCCCAAACCUCUAAGCUGCAAAUAUAAUUCUCAAAUAUCAACUAAGCGACGGGCAACAACCCACGGUUGAUCAUACACUAAUCAAUGAGAAAAUGGUUGAUUUAUAAGAUAACAAAAAAAGCUGUCCUAGUGUACAAGGCUCCUACCACGGCAAUAAUUCAAGAGAAUCACCGGACUCGAUGUAGACCAUUUUGGCCACUACAAGUAUUCAGGAGGAUCACCAAAUUCAAUGUGGAUUACUUAGGCCACUAAGAGUAUCCCAAGAGAUCACCAAACUCGACGUGGAACACUUUGUCCACUACAAGUAUUCAGGAGAAUCACCAGACUCGAUGUGAAACACUUUGGCCACUAUGAGUAUUUAGGAGGAUCACCGACUCGAUAUGGACCACUUUGGCCACUACGGAUAUUCAGGAGGAUCACCAGACUCGAUGUAGAUCACUUUAGCCACUACAAGUAUUCAAGAGGAUCACUAGACUCGAUGUGGAAUAUUUUGACCACCACGAGCAGAGUUGGAUAAAGCUCAAGAGCGAGAUCUGCCACAUCAGAAAGCCGAGUCGCAGACUAAACUUUUAAAAGUUAUAAUUUGGUCAUACGAUGCCCGAUUGAGAUGAUCUUUUUUUUGAAAUUUGGUAUCUUUUUGAGAUCUACAACUAGAAUUAAAUCGGGCCGAAAAUCUAUCGCUUAAAUCUCGAAACAGGCCAGUCAAACCGAAAGUUCUCUUUUCGGAUAAGACUUUGACCGGGCGUGGCUCUAUAUCCGAGAAGAAUCGGACAGAGUGACAAAGUAGAGUUGAUGUAGAAGUCGAGAUUUAUCUCUUUGAAAUUUUUAGCUUGUUCUAGAAGAUUUCUACAAGAUGUGUAUUUAGAAAAAAUAGUCCUACUAGGAUUAGAAAGAGAAAUCCGACCCAAAUUAUUUUGGGACAGACCUCACAUAAUAAAUAGAGGCUAUGUACCUUCUUUUUAUUAAUCAUUAAUGGAAAAAAAGGGGUCUUAAGCCGUACUUUCGAGAUUCCUUCUUUUAAUUCUUUUGAGCGAUCCGAAUUGAGUGGGUUAAAGAAAAUCUUUCUUCUUCCCGAUUGGAUCAAGUUGGUAUCAAAGCUUCAGUCCUCUACAUCUGUGGGAGCCUUAGUGCAUGGUCCAGAUGCACAAGCGAUACAAGCAGUAAGGAGAAGGAUUAUCCGUGCUUAAAGUACAUUGAAGGAUAAAAGCGAAUAUGAUUGCUAGUUCUACCUCGAUGGAUGAUGAGAUGAUGAAACGUCUCACAUAACUAGAAAAGAAGACAGCCCAUCUCACCGAGAUCGUGUCUUGAUUGGCGACGCCUUCAACACGAGCACCAACAACACUAUCUUCGAGCAAAACAAGUAGUUCAGUCGCAAAGCAGGAAAGUAAGUAUUUUUCCAUCUUCAUUUCUAAUUUAGCAUGAGCUAAAUCCCCUAAACAAGAAGAGCUCUAAUCCAAGAGGAACAUCGAACUUGAUGUGGACUAUUUUGGCCAUUACGAAUAUUCAAGAGAAUCACCAAACUCGAUGUGGAUCAAUUUGGCUACUACAAGUAUUCAAAUAGAUCACCAGACUCAAUGUGGAAUACUUUGGCCACUAUGAGUAUUCAGAAAGAUCACCAGACUUGAUGUAGGUCAUUUUGCCUACUGCGAAUAUUCAAAAGGAUCACCAGACUCGAUAUGGAUCAAUUUAGCCACUACAAGUAUUCAGGAGGAUCACUAGACUCGAUGUAAAAUACUUUGGCCGCUAUGAGCAGGGCUGGAUAGAGUUCAGAAGUGAGAUCCGCCACAUCGAAAAGCCGAGUCGCAGACCAAACUUUCGAAGGCUAUAAUUUAGUCAUACGAUUCCUGAUUAAGAUGAUCUUUUUAAAAAAAUUAGGUAUCUUUUCGAGAUCUACAACUAAAAGUCAAAUCAAGCUGAAAUUCCAUCAUUUAGGUCCCAAAAUGGGUCAGUUAAACCGAAAGUUUUCUUUUCGGAUAAAACUUUAACCGAGCGUAACACUUUAUCCGAGAAUAAUCAGGCAGAGCGACAGAAAACGGAGUUGAUAUAGAAGUUAAGAUCUACCUCCUAGAAAUUUUUAGCUUUUUCUAGAUGAUUUCUACUAUAUAUGUCUAAUUAGAAAAAAGUCUUACUAGAAUUAGGAAGCAAAAUCCGGCCCAAAUUGUGUUAAGACGGACCUCACAUUAUAAAUAGAGUUUAUGUAUCUCAUUUUUAUUAAUCAUUUAUGGAAGAAAAGGGGACUUAAGCCCUACUCCCGAAAUUCCUCCAUCUUCUUCUUCUUUUUUGAGAGAGAUUCGAGUUGAGUGGGUUGAAGGAAUCUUCCUUCUUCUCAAUCGGAUCAUGCAAGGUUUGGGAAGAAUCAGACAUAUGCACCCUUACCCCUUAAUGUAGAGAGCCUGUAAGUAAAAAAAAUGACAGCCAGCAAGGCGGUUUAUAACAUAGCCACACACAUUGCACUUGAAAUAUUGAAUCAAGAUAUGUACCCACUUAUGAAUGCACUUGAAAUAUUGAAUUCUUGACUAUUUCAAGUCAGCUCUUUGAAUCCUUCUUCAUUAUUAAUUGCUAUCAUAGGUCAUGUCCUACUACUUCAAACUUCAAAUUUUCUUUUUUUUAACAACUCUCAUUCAUGCUGUCAUGCUCUCUCGAUGAAUCAUUGAAACAAAAACUAGUAUUUUUCAAAGCCACCUUGGACAACAAUUGUACAUGUGGAUGUUAACUUAAUUAUCUAUAACUUUAUCAACUAGUGCAGCACCUAUGCACCAUGAAUGUACUAAUUUCUUAUUUUAUCAUCAACUAGUGCAGCCUUCCCUAUUUUACAACACAUCACAUAAGCAUUAUUAUCUUUCAUCAUCAACCUUAAAGAUAUAUCGGUUUAUCAUCCAACGUUUUUAGCUACAUAGUGUGAUUUAUUGUUGAUAUCAAUCGGUCAUCUCUUAAACGCAUUCAACAAUCACCUAAAACACAAAAGUGAAAACCAUGUCAUUUCAUUCAGCAUACCCCCUUUAAGGCACCAAGGAACGGAACCAUUAAGGUGAGAAAAAUGGAUCAAUGAGAUUCAUGAGCAUGGCAUACAACAUAGGGCAAAAACAAUUCAGCAUGCAAAUUAAGCUCAUAUAUCACCAACUUAUCUCAAGAUGCAUUAUUCAAAAAGUAACAAAGAAACCAAGGGAUAACAGUCAGAAUUAACCAUCAAAACAGUUCAUGCAUGAGUUAUCUGUAUAUGACAACGUAACACAAUCAAAAAGAAAUCAGAAGAUAGCAUACGGUUUUGCAUCUCUGUGAAGCAUUGGCAAAAUAGUCUGCAUAAUGAUUGGUACCAUGAUAGAAUGCAAAGCGAGUGAUGGAAGCAUUUCCAACAGUUUGAGCUGCAAGCAAAUGUCAAAAAAAAUGGAGCAUAAGUAAAAAUUUGAUAUAUGAGAUAAUGUUCAAUCAUGCCUUAAGUUUAAAAAGAAUAAGCAUUAUUAAUGUGUUUAGAUGCAAAGGAGAACAACAAGAUUGGACAGAGAAUGAAAAGAAAAUUAGAAACUCUUAUUGUUUGGUCACCAUGAGUGUGUGAGAGAGAGAUGUGUGUGUGUGUGUGUGUGUGAGAGAGAGAGAGAGGUUGAAUGUUGCUCCCUUCAAUUUGGUGAUUGACAAUAGUAAUGUAGUGAGGAAAAAGGCCAUUGUACAGUGCUGACAGUCAAUGAUGGCAAAUAGUGAUUGCACCCAUGUUGGUGGACACCGAUGGUUAAAAUUGCUUAGCUAAUUUGAUUGUCAAGCUUGCUAUAAGAACUCAAGGACUUUGAAUGAAAGCACUUUUUGGAUGCUCAUGCAAAGUGAGACAUAUUAAACUGGAUACCACAGAAAAAAAUCAUUAAAAAGUAACUCACAUAAAUGCAUACAUGCAGGCAUAUAUGUACAAUUAUAUACUUGCAAACAUCACAAAGAUACCUGCUUGAGAGAAAAUAAUAUGUAUAUAAAUAAUUGCAUGUUCCAACCCCAAAUAGUUGGGAAAACGCCAGUGUAAACAAAGUCUAUAAUUAGUAGUUCUGUAUUUUUAUAUUUCCAUAUUUGAUGAAUCGUUCACAUAAACAGAUAACAAAACAAAUGGAAAGCAAAAAAAUUGGAACUUGAAAAAUGAAAAUGCAAAACAGAAGAUUAACAAUAUACUAAAAUAUAUCAAACAGAAAAUGCAAAAACAGAACUAUUAAAAAAAAACUAAGCAACUGAAAAAUAAUAUUUAAGACAAA